UUUUUUUUUUUUUUUUGACAAAUAUGACUUAUACGAAACAUGGACUGACAAGUGACAACUGAGUAAGCUGCUUUCUUCUGUCUAUCAUUUUCUUCAAAACUCUCGAUUUCCGAAGUAGACUUGACAAGGUUGUUAGCCGUAAUAUAAGUGACUGAUUGAGUUAUACCAGUCAGCUUGUCAUUGGUAAUAUGCUUAUAAAUAUAAAAUAUCGUUAAGUUUCAAUCAGUCAUUUUAUCAAACACUUCGUGGUCAGAAGUUAUAUACUUACAUGUAGCCAGCCCUUGAUUGAUUAAGCUCGAAAUCUGUGAUCUUCUUAGUAGUAUUUGCUGUUUGAAGUCGAAUCUUGAUAAUGUGGAGUGUUAGAAGAAAAUUUGCCCUAUGUUUACUCUCUGUUGCAUCUGGUAACCACCUUAGUUCAGCAAAUAGUGUUAUAAAGCCUAUUAGGUUAUUGUCCCAUUGUUGUUAUAUGGUUAGUGAAUCUGAGUUGAGGGCUUCUGUCCGUAUUUUGAAAUCGACUAGUUUUCCGAUUUUGGUUUCUCAAUUUUCGUCCGUUACUGAAAGAAAUCAAGAUGGUUAUGCUCUAGAGAAGUGUGAUAAUGGGGUUAGCGGCAAUGAUGAAAAUAGGAGUGAGGAUGAUGAGGAUUAUGAUGAAAGCAAGGGUGGGCAGUUGGGCUUGAAGGAUGAGGAUUUUAAUAGGAAUGUAGGUGUUAUUAUGGAUGUUUUGUUAGCCCCACGAAGCAGUUGUUCGGUUGUGAAGUAUAAGCUUGAGCAGUGUAGUGUGGUUGUUUCGACGGAUUUGGUUGUGGAGGUUCUUUCUCGUGUACGUAAUGAUUGGGAAGUGGCGUAUACUUUCUUUAUGUGGGCUGGUAGGCAGUCAGGUUAUGCACAUUCUCUACGUGCGUACCAUUCUAUGAUUUCUAUUUUAGGGAAAAUGAGAAGAUUCGAUACAGCUUGGGGGUUGAUUGAGGAGAUGAAAGGUGGGAGAACUGGACCCUCUCUAGUGACUCCACAUACGUUGUUGAUAUUGAUUAGAAGGUAUUGUGCUGUGCAUGAUGUUGGAAAAGCUAUUAAUACUUUUUAUGCUCAUAAGCGGUUUAAAUUUGAGAUAGGAAUGGAGGAAUUCCAAAAUCUUUUAUCUGCUCUGUGUCGGUAUAAGAAUGUCAAAGAUGCUGAACACUUGCUCUUUUGCAACAAAGAUGUUUUUCGGCUCAAUACCAAGAGUUUUAAUAUAAUUCUUAAUGGAUGGUGUAACAUUAUGGGGAAUUCAAAGGAAGCAAAGAGAAUUUGGUGGGAGAUGCAUGAGAGAAAGAUUUUUAAAGACGUUGUAUCUUAUGCUAGCAUGAUGUCAUGCUAUUCGAAAGUUGGUAGACUCAAUGAUGUUCUCAGGCUCUUUAACCAGAUGAAAGCGCUGGAAAUUGUUCCAGAUAGAAAAGUUUACAAUGCUGUCAUUCACGCUCUUGCAAAAGGCAAGCUUGUGAAGGAAGCUUGCAAUCUAUUGAAAACAAUGGAAGAAGAAGGUAUUGCUCCAAAUGUUAUUACUUAUAACUCACUUAUUAUGCCUCUAUGCAAAGCCCGUAAAUUAGAUGAAGCGCGGGAGGUUUUUGAUGAGAUGUUACAAAGGGGCCUUGCACCUACCAUUCGAACUUACCAUGCUUUCUUUCGCAAUUUAAGGACAGCUGAAGAUGUGUUUGAGCUCUUAGAAAACAUGAACAAGGAAGGGUGCCGUCCCGGUCAUGACACUUUUAUAAUGUUAAUCAGAAAGUUUUGCCGUUGGCGCCAACUUGACAAUGUCUACAAGCUGUGGAAUCAGAUGAGUGAUUAUGGACUUGAUCCUGAUCGCAGUUCAUAUAUUGUUCUAAUCCAUGGGCUGUUUUUAAAUGGAAUGUUGGAGGAAUCAUACAAAUAUUAUCAAGAGAUGAAGGAAAAACAUUUAGUGCCAGAGCCAAAGAUAGAUGAGAUGCUUCAAACUUGGAUAGCUGGUAAACAAAAUGCAGACAAGCCCGCAGUUGAGUCAAAACAUGAUCAGGUAAGUCGUAGUCAGACAACAAAGGAUGCAAAAGCUCCCUCAGAGAAGGUUGAACGGAAUGUAGAUUUUCGCCGACAACCUGAAACUAAAAAAGUUGUGAGGGAAAGNNNNNNNNNNNNNNNNNNNNNNNNNNNNNNNNAAAAAGUUGUGGGGGAAAGAGGAUAUUCAUUUUGGGAUGAUUAGAUCAAAGUUGAUAACUGAUGCUCUCCUAUGUUGCUAUAUGUUCUACAUAGGACUCCAUGAUUACGUAUGAGCGAAGCACAAUAAAGGUUGGUUUGACUCCAUGUUACUGUUUUGUCUUUGCAAAUUUUUGCUAUCAAGUGAGGAAAAGGUUUCCUUAGCACAUAGCAUUUCCUUCAUAAUCCCCCCCCCCACACACACACACACACACCCAAAUUAGAAACCAGAUUUUAUACCACUAUAUCAACAUGAAAUGCAUGAAGUCCACAUAGCAAGUGUUUCGGUAUAUUUUUUAUUGAUGGCAUCAAGUUAAUCUGGUUUUGCAUUUUUGUUCCCCUAGUGCUUGAUCUCCUGCUAAACUUGUGAUGAUCCUCAGAGUGCCAGUAGCCUCUUCAUCAAAAUUCAUCCACUUAAUAUAUAAUAUAUCUUUAAUUGAGGAGUUUUUAUUCGAUUCUUGCAGAUAUAAAUAAGUUAUAUGGGUAAAAAUGUAAUUGGUAUGUUUAAUAGUAUUUCUACCCUUGUAGCUUGAAAAUGUUCUCACCAUACAUUUCCAGAUCCAAGUGUCCAACCAUGCUGAAGAAAAUUCUGAGAUAAAUAAGUAGAUACAAAAAGAUUAAAUUUUUUAUUCUGUAGUGAUUUGAGAUUUCUUUAUAUAUAUUAUUAUUUUUUUUUACAUAAACUUGUAUACACACUAAACUUUAUAUUUUUUAUAUAAACAAGAAAUUAUAAAAGAAAUCUAUUUACAAGUAUGUUUCUUGAAAUGCCUGCAAACAAAUCUUAUUAAAUGGAAUGGACCGGAAGGACAGCAUAUCAAUGGUCUCUCUUCAUUGAGAUUCUAAUCUUACAUCUGUCUUUGUCUUUACCUCUGCAUGUAAUAUCCUAGUACUAAUAUAUUUACACACACGUACCAGACAUCUCAAUAUCUCCUUUCAGCUGCCGGAAAAUUUAAUCUACAAUGCUUGUUUACGAUCAAGUAGAUCACCCUCACCAGAACAACAAUGCUCCUACGCAGCCCAAUGCCCGUCCCGAAACCGAGCCAUAUUCUUCACCUCAUGAUCAGACUCUUCAGUGUUUGGAUUAUUUGAGCUGCAUGCCAUCUUUUAGGAUUUAUACAAAGGCUGAGCCUAGUUUCUCCCUUACUAUCCGUGAUGGCAAAGUCAUUCUUGCCCAGGUUGACCCGUCUGAUCCGUUUCAGGUAAUGCCAUGUUUCGUAACAUUGAUUUUGUUUUUUGAUGAAUUAUGGGCACUUGUAUUUUCAUUUUAUAUUGUAUUAGUUGUGCUUGUAAAUAAAUUUGAGUAGUUUUAGAAAUUUAUUGGCCUGAGGACGAAGAUGAAUAUAUGAGCUUUAAUGAAUAGGGGUACAUUUUUAACGUAACAGUUUGAGUCGUCGUUAUUUCCUGAUUGUUUCUUUGUGUAAUUUCUAAUUGUUAAUUAUUAUAUAUAUGCGGUGUUUGUAAAUAUAGCAAUGGGUGAAAGAUGAGAGACAUGGCACGACGGUUAAAGAUGAAGAGGGAUUCUCUAGCUUUGCUCUGGUAAAUAAAGCUAGUGGUCAGGCUAUAAAGUAUUCUGUUGAAGCCACUCAUCCGGUAUGUGUAUCUAUGAUUCAUUUUCAAUUCAUAAAUCUAAUCUAUUUGCUUGGAAUAUUUCAACAAUGGAGUGAUGGAAUUUCAUGUCCAAUACUAGAGAUAAGUUUGAAUGUCUCAAUUUAUAGAGAUAGUUAGCUUUCCAUGAUGUUCCGUAAAACACGAUAUAAAAGAUAGUCACAAAUUGGUGGUAGCUAUAAUUUGUGGCUUGUUUGGUCAGGACUCUGUUAGAUAAUUAAAAGCUAAUAUGAAAUCAUUUACAUGUUUUCUUCAUGUGAUAAAUCGUCAAACACUUUGCCAGUUUCCUACGGAUAUAUAAGGCCUAACAGAAUGAUGGAAGGAAAUAUAAGGCCUAACAGAAUGAUGGAACAAGCUUUUUGCUUUUUUGGGCGAUUUCACUAAUUCUCUCACUGGUUUUCGAAGCUAUCUCUGUCCCUCCUAUUCCUCUAGUCUUAGGUCCAACUCCAUUGAUAGAGCCUGAUGCUUAAAAUUGGUUUAGGAGUAGCCAUGACCUGAGUGCCUCUCUCUAUUUUUUUAGGUUCAGUCUGCUUUAUUUUUUAAUUGCCGGUACUGAUCUUAGUUUCUGCCCGAUAUUGUACAAAUCUCCCCGCACAUAAUUUUGAUUACACUGCGAUUCUUGCCAUUUUGUCCUCAAAUUGUGGAUUAGAAGCUUACUAUAACAAUGUUGAAUAUUAAUUUGUGCUUGCUUCGCAGCAAAGAUGGUAAUACAGUAAAUACAUUAGGAAAUUACAAAUAUGGCUGUGUUUAGAGGGUCCCUGCUCUGAAGUUCAGCUUUUACCAGUCUUACUCGGUCCGGAUCUGUAUAAAUAAUGAUUAUCCUUGUUUUUUGUUAUGGCGGAAUCUAUUUGAUCUCUGUUUUCUCAUUGCUAAUAUACAGUAAAUUAUCCUCUACAGGUGCAGCUCAUCCCUUAUGUUCCUGACGUACUUGAUGAAUCCGUCCUUUGGACUCUUGGUGCGGACUCAGGUGAUGGUUAUAGAGCAAUGAGGAUGGUCAAUAACAUUCGCCUCAAUAUAGAUGCAUUUCUCAAUAGUGAUGGACGCGUUCAGGAUGGUACAAUUAUUGGCCUGUGGGAGUGGCUGCAAGGUGAAAAUCAACAAUGGAAGAUCAUACCACAUCAGUAUGAGCCUUCUACAAUUGAUAAUCAGACACUUCACGUUUGGGAUUAUUUGGGACGGAUGCCAUCUGUUAGGGUUUACACAAAGGCUGAGACUAAUUGUUCCCUUGCUAUUCGUCAUGGUAAGGUCAUUCUUGCCCAGGCUGACCCGUCUGACCCGUCACAGGUAUUUUCCUGUUUCCUAGUAUGUUUUCCCAAAAUUAGUUAGCUCAUCGACUUAAAUCCUAUUCUCAUUAAAUGCAUUUUACUAAUAGAAAGUAUAGGCCCUUCUUAUGUUUUGCGAAUUUAAGUAAUUUGUACUACUACUAAUACUACCAACUGCUAUCAGACUAGUCUUCUGGACGAACUAGCAUAGUAGAGUACUAGAGUUUCUAUAUUUUUGUUCUACUAGGACUAUAAGUCACACUAUACUAUACUUCACUGAACCUUCUUACACUGGUUCAAUUUUUAGUAAGGCAAUUAAGAUGGAUAGAUCAUCCAAAUUCGGGUCCAUAAGCAGUGACAAUUGCCCUAUGAACACUCGCUUUCGCUGUGGCUCCAGUGGUUCCCUUAAUGUAGGACUGCCCCUGAGUCCCUGGCUCAUUCUUUAAUAGGCACAAGGUCUGAGCCUCGGGCUCCUUCCACUGCUUGGGAGCUUACGGUUUCAUGUUCUAUUUUCACUCCCCAAUGUUGGUUCAUUUCACCCUCCCCUCGCGGUGCUUCCUCCGAUUAAAUUAUAUUUUAUUAUUUGUUUUUGCCAGUAAAAACCAGCAUGAGAAAUAUAGUACGAUAGUUUGUUAUAUUAUCCUUAUACUCUAUAUAAAAAGGAACCUGAAUUUGUUGCUUAUAUGCUUAUUCUAGUGACAUGUUUAACAACUCUAUAUGAUAGAUCAAAUUAUUAACUAAAUAUAUACNAUAUAUAUACUAUAUAUAUAUAUAUAUAUAUAUAUAUAUAUAUAUAUAUAUAUAUAUAUAUAUUUUUUUUUUUAGACGUAAAUUGAAUAGUUAUAUGUAGAAGUUUUAAUGAAAGAAAUAACUUAAUUUAAAGGUUCAAAAUUGGGCCAAGAUUUUUUUUGCUAUAUUUUAAUAUGCAACCACGCAGUGUUGAAAUUUAAAAUAAAUGAUUUUAGUUUUAAGCUAUUUUUUUUGUUCAUGGUGAUUUGUAUUGUGAAUAUCUAUGAAUUAUAAGCAACAUCAAAAUUGUAUACAUUUGAAGUAUAUCUUAAACAUCUUUGAAUAUUAAAAUAAUUAAUAUGUAUUGUUUGAUUCCUAUCUUUACUUAAAUAAAAAGCUAUAAAAUUAAAUCUCAUACUUUUCAUAUUUAUUAAAAAAAUUAUACUCUCUCCCUCCCACUCCCCCCCCCCCCCCCCCCCCCCNNNNNNNCACACACAACACACACACACACACUUGCACUUGCACUUCAAUAACACACACUUUGAAGCUGUUAUGGAACCAUUGAUUCAGUUGAUAUAUUGGAUUCUAACAAAUGAUGACACUGAUAAAUAGCUCUUUACAAUUUUUAUACCUUACUGUUUUAGAAAAUUUUGCUCUGUAAUUUUUUUUUAAUAUACUGAUAAUUUCCGCGGUAUUUGUGAUUCUAGCACUGGGUGAAAGAUGAGAAAUAUAGCACAGAGUUUAAAGAUAAACAUGGCUUUCCUAGCUUUGCACUGGUUAACAAAGCUACUCUUCAGGGAAUGAAGCAUUCAGUUGAAGCCUGUCAUCCAGUAUGCUUAUCUUUUUAUAUAUGUUCUAUUGAUUUGUUUCUUUCUGUAGUGUGGAAUUUAUAUACGGAGUAAUUGUUUUUCAUGUCCAAUAACAGAGAUAAAUUUCGAUGUCGCAUUUCAUAGAGAGCUAAAAUUUAAUAUGUGACUAUUAUUAGUAGUUAUAAUUUGUGGUUAGUGGUCAGUGCUCAUUACUUAGAUGAAAGGAAACAUAUAGUCAUUUAUAUGUUGUCCUUAAAUUGUGAAUUAGUAGCGUACUUUAACGAUGCCGAAUAUUUAUUUGUGUUUGCUUCGUGGAUGUCCAGAAAAUGAUAUAUGAAUACAUUAGGAACUCACAAAUAUAUCCGUGUUUUUAUGAGUUUCUGCUAUGAAGUUAAGCGGUCAUCAGUCUAGACCUGUAUACUUUGUGAUCCUUGUUUUUUUUCUUUGUUUUCUGCUGAAACUAUAUGAUUUAUGUUUCUGGAUGCUCUUCAAUUGCUUAUAUGCAGCAUAAUAUCUUUUACAGGUGCAGCUUAUCCCUUAUGUUCCAGGCAUACUUGAUGAAUCUGUCCUUUGGACCCUCAGCGCGGACUUGGGUGAUGGUUAUAGUGCAAUAAGGAUGGCCAGUAACACUCGCCUCAGUGUAGAUGCAUUUAAGAACAGUAAAGGACGCAUUCAUGAUGGGACUAUCAUUGGGCUGUGGGAGUGGUUGAAAGGUGAUAAUCAACGAUGGAAGAUUGUACCACAUCAGUCUGUGCCUACUUCAAUUUAUGAUCAUACACGUCAGAUUUGGGGUUGUUUGAGCCGGAUGCCAUCUGUUAGGGUUUGCACAAAGGCUGAUACAAAUUUCUCACUUGCUGUCCGUCAUGGUAAGGUCAUUCUUGCACGGGCUGACCCAUCCGACCUGUUUCAGGUAUUUCCUUGUAUCCUAAUAUAUUCUGUAAUCAUUCUGAAAAAUUGAGUGAAUACCAAAAAGGCCUAUAGUAGUAUAGUAGUAUAGUUUGUUAUAUUAGCCUAUAUAUAUAAUUAGGGCCUUGAGUUUGUUGAUUAAUUUGCCACUUUAUAUACAAGUCUAAUAAUAUAGAUAUAACAGGUAAGGUUUAAGUUUUAACUAAUAUUCAUGUCCCUUAAUAUAAUUUGACCUAGACUUAAUUAGUAAAAAAGACACUUAGACUUAUUUAAAGUCUUUGUAAUUUAUUCUUAUCUACUAACCUGAUUAGAAAAAAUAAGCUGAUGUGAGAGGUGAAGCAACAGAAUUGAGCAGCCAAUAUUUGUUUUAUAUAUAUUUGAAAAACAGAUUGUCAGACUUUCAUAGUAAUUUUAUAGUUUGAGAUUUUUUUGUAUUGUUCAUGGUAUUUAAAAUAUUAAAGUUAUGAAGUCUAAAUCAUAUGAUAAUUAAGGGUGUUUGAAACUUUAAAAUUAUAUUAUCAUUGUGGUGUUUGUGAUUACAGCACUGGGUGAAAGAUGAGAAAUAUAGCACAGAGGUUAAAGAUCAAUAUGGCUUCCCUAGCUUUUCACUUGUUAAUAAAGCUACUGGUCAGGCUAUGAAGCAUUCUGUCGGAGCCACUCAUCCGGUAUGUUUAUACUAUUGAUUUAAUAUAUUUCUUCUGUGAAAUAUGUACAUGAUGAAAUGUUGGAUAUUCAUGUCUAAUAGAAGUAACCAUGAGUUGAUCGCUUUUCCUCUCUGUCUUGCUCCCCCUGUGUUAUACAAGUUCUGACUUUGCCUCGUAGAAAAAUCUCUUCCGGCUAAGUUAUACUAAGUUACUGGUUCUAACAGAGCUUCAAUAGGUCAAUUAUAUAUUUUUCUACCGAUGCUGAAACUGAUUGGGGUUAAAGAAAUUCAGUUUCUGUAUACUCAAUUAUCUGUUGCUGCACAUCAUCACAGCUAAAUAGCUAAUUACAAAUAACAAAUUUGAUUCACUCUGGAAAAUCGAUAUGUGCUUUAUUGGUUCUUAUUGCUGAUACCGAUUUUCAGUUGUCUGAUAUAAAAUGGAUCCCCCUGCAUUAAACGUUAGUUCCACUGCUAUUCUUUUUGGUAGCACCAUUUUUUCCUCAAAAUUGUGAAUAGCUUUACCGGUGUUGAAUAUUCAACUGUGCUUGUUAGCAGCUCUCAAGAUGGUAUUAUAUACACCUUAUGAAAUCACAAUAAUAUCCGAGGGUUUUUUACAGCUUUGGCUAUGAAGUUCAGUGUUUACCACAAUCUCAGUCUAGACCUGUAUAAUAAAUGAUCCUUAUAUCCUGUUUUCUUCUUGUCGGGUAUAGUCUUUUGAUUUUAGUUUCUCUACAUCGUCUACAUUUACUAAUAUGCAGCUAAAAUUAUCUUCCACAGGUGCAGCUUAUUUCCUAUGUUCCUGAGCCACUUGACAAGUCUGUUCUUUGGACUCUGAGCGCGGACUUAGGUGAUGGUUACAGAGCAAUGAGGAUAGUCAAUAACACUCGCCUGAACGUAGAUGCAUUUUACAGCAGUGAUGGUCGCGUUGAUGAUGGUACUAUCAUCGGCCUGUGGGAAUGGGUGCAUGGUGAAAAUCAGCAAUGGAAGAUUUUAUCCUACUAAAUAUAAGUCUCGAACAUAUUAAAGAUUCUUGAAAUAGCUUGCUCACUGCUUAUCUGAGAGUCCUUACUAUGCUACUAUGAAUAUUUUGUAAAUAAUAUGAGUCACUGAUUUUUGUUUAAGCCCGGGGUACAUUAUCUUGAUUAAACCUUUUUCUUAACAUGCUUAAUGUUUUUCAAAUAAUUAGUGUUUUUUUACUGGAAUGAGGCACGCUAGCCGGCCCAAAUUACAAAUGGCCCAAUUACUGAUGAACGGGUCUCCGGCCCAGGAGUUAAAUGAAAACGAAUGAAAUAUGUUCUAGACAUGAAGAAAAUCAAUCAGUCUGGGAUUUAAGAAUAGAAUGACAAGGCAUUUUGAAACGCAUGAGAUUCACGUGGAGAUGCAAAAGAAUCACAGAAAGAACCAAGAUUGCCUAUCUUUAUUAGCGUAGAUAGUACGCGAAUAAAGAGUGAAAAUGAUUUGAGUGGCUUGCAUAGUUCGAAUAUUGAAACUCUUUCUAAUUUGAAAAUUUUACGUUUAAAGAGGUGUUUUGAAUUGAAAUUUUGGAAUUUUCAAAAUAAUGAUGAUUUAUAAAUUUAAAUUGACAUUAUAUUGAUUGAUGUACUACUGGUAUUUAAAAGAAUAUUUUCUUAAAGUUCGAAUUUUAGUUUUCUGAAAAAUUCGAUAUAAUAUUUAAACAUAUAAAAAUAUGUGAGAAAAUUCAUAAAUCCAACAAUUUCAAAAUAUUAACGAUUCAAUUUUCACUUUUCAGUACAUAAUUUAAUUUGAUUUUACAUUAAAUAAAAGCUUAAUCCAUGCACUCCCAUCGUUAACAAAAAAACCCUACAAAGACACUUCUUCCCUUUUCACAUUUUCUUAAACGAAACGUACAUAUUCAUAAAAAAACAAGUUAUAUUUCUUGUUGUCAAUUCUAUAUAACCCUGAUAAACUACAUUAGUUUAUAUAUAUGUUUUAACCGAAUAUUAAAAUUAUAUUUAAAAUAUAUUUUUGAAAAAUUAUUCAAAAAAGAUUUUUAGAAAACGAAGAUAACAAAUAUUUUGGAUCAUGUUAUUUUUGGAAGAAACAUUAUAGGUGGGGUAAAUAAAAAAAAGGUUUUGUACGUCCAAAUUUCAUAAGUUUGAUGGAUUUUUAUUGGUGUGAUUGAUAAAUUUGCGGGAUUCAUUAUUUAUAAAAAAACAAGAGUCAGAUCAAAAUCCACCAAAUUUAUAAAAUUUGAUGUUUAGUGUGCGCUAUUGACACAUAGCAGAAAAACCAAUAAAAAAAAAUGUGCCGACCGAAAAUCAAAUUUCAAAUCAUUAUCAGUAAUGGACACGUUGUGUCCUGGGCCCACAUAAAUUGAUUUUGGUAGGUGAUCAGUUUCAUGAUUCAUCGCAAAUGUAUGUAGUAUAAAUACACACAACACAACUCAUCAAAACUCUUCAUCUUCUCCACUUAGCUAAGCAAUCAAAUUCUCAGUCUCCGAUCAUCAAAAUGGAUUACCCGUACGGCCACCCACUCCACAACCGCCACGACAACACCUACCCACCCCCACCCAACACCUANNNNNNNNNNNNNNNNNNNNNNNNNNNNNNNNNNNNNNNNNNNNNNNNNNNNNNNNNNNNNNNNNNNNNNNNNNNNNNNNNNNNNNNNNNNNNNNNNNNNNNNNNNNNNNNNNNNNNNNNNNNNNNNNNNNNNNNNNNNNNNNNNNNNNNNNNACCCGCCCCCACCCCAAGUCCACCACACUUCCCACCAGCCCGGAUCCGACCCGUUUCACUCUUCCCACCACCCCGGAUCCGACCCGUUUCACUCCUCCCACCGACCCGGAUCCGACCCGUACCCGCCACCGCCCCAAGCCCACUACGGCGGAGGGGACGCCUCCCCACCGUACCCGCCGCCGCAAGUGGAAGUUCAUGUUUAUCCGCCUGGUCCGGGUCGGAAUGACCCGUAUUCUUCCGGGUCGAAUGUGCACCAUGUGGCUCAUGAGAGUAGGCCACAUGGGUAUGGGCCGAGUGCGGUGCCGAAUCAGGCCCAUGGUGUGAUGGAUUAUCUGAGUAGGAAGCCCACUGUGAGGGUGUACACUAAGGCGGACACUAAUCACUCUCUUACUAUCCACGAUGGGAAGGUCACUCUUGCCCGAUCCGACCCGAAUGAUCCGUGUCAGGUAUGCCCUUUUAAAAAUGAUGUUUUGAUGGAAUUUUGGUUGAUGAUAUUAAUUUGUAUUUGUUGUUCAAAAAAUUGAUUAGUUAUAUAAUUGAUAUUUGUUUCAUAUUUUGUGAUUGAUUGUUAUAUAGACAUCAAUGUUUUGAUUUAAUAUGAAUUGUUAUAAAAUGAAUAAUUUGGUUGCGAUUUGGUUUGUAUUAAUGUAGAUGAUAAUAAUUUGCUUAAGAAUUACACUAUGAUAUUAGUAUCUGUUUUAUUUUAUUUUGGAAAAUUGAUUAAUUGUUUGACUUAUAUUAAACUGGUUGUUUUAUAUUUGUGAUACAUUCAUAAACAUACAUCAGUAUUUUGAUUAGAUAUGGAUUGUUAUAGGAUAUAUGAAUAUGAUUAUGCUACCGUGCGGUUUAUUUUAAUGUGUAAUUUUAUUGUUUGUGUUUCGAUAUUUCAUUUAUUUAUUAUUCUUCAAAAGAUGGGUUUAUUGUAUUGAUAUUGACAGUAUAGAAGUAUAGAUAUAUUGGUCAAGUGAGUUAUUUUUCCGGUAUCAAAAUUAAAGAAUUCUUGGGUUUCAAGGGUAUUUAUGUAUAGAGCUUUAAUUGUAUGUAGUAGGUACUUGAAUUUUGUUGGGAUGAGGGCCCCCUUAUGUGAGCUGCACGGUUAAUGUUUUGUUUGUGCUGUGCUAUAAUUUCUUACUUAUAAUGUUUUUUUCUUGAUGUGUUCGUGAAUGUAGCACUGGGUGAAAGAUGAGAAAUAUAGCACAAAGGUGAAAGAUGAACAGGGAUUUCCUUGUUUUUCUCUGGUUAAUAAAGCUACUGGUCAGGCAUUGAAGCAUUCUGUUGGAGCUCAUCAUCCUGUAUGUUUAUUCAAUUAUUCGUGUUCUGUUUAUACUUUUUUAUAUUACGUAUUGGAGUAUUGGUAGAAGUUUCAUGCCCAUUUGAAGAGGUAAUUUUAACUUUUAAGGGUAUUUAGAUUUCUAGAUGGAUUCUGUAGUAUUCCCUAAACAAAGAUGGAUUCUUUAAUGUUUACUAAGAUUAAAAAGCGUCCUUUGAAUGGAAACUGAUGAGUCAUUAAAUAUAUCUGUUAUGUUAUUAGUGCUUUGAUAGUCUUGUAUAGAAAUAGGAGGCGGAACUGAAUGAUAGAAUCGUCAUCUUGUCUUUCGAAUAUUCAUAUUGUUCUUCUGCACAUUUAUCAAGCAACCUCUGUUCUUUCUCUUUUCGUAGUCAGUAGUCCUAGGUUACUUGUGGGCGUCUAAUGCUGAAUUUGGGGUCAGAUUAAGUGUAAUCUGAUUGUUGCUCUGUGCUCCCUUCCCUUUUUGUUCUCAAACUUUUGACUUCGUCCCUAAGCAAAAUAUAUUUCCAUUGAUUUACUGGUUUUGUGGUUCCUACAGAGCUAAGGUCAGAGAUUAUUGUUUUCUGAUUCCCAUCACUAUAGUUCAACACAUCAUCAGAGCUAAUUGCAAGCAACACUCAUUUAUUCUGAAUGUUGUCUCUGUCUUCUUUAAAUUCUUUUUUGACAAUAUCUGUUAUGAAGUUCAAUGUUCACCCGUCUAUACUCUCUGUUUAGACCCCCAUAUUUGUUGAUCCUUGUGUACUUGUCUUUAAUUUUUCGAUAAUUUUUUUACCGUGGAUGCUGGGCAAUCACUAACAUAGUAAAAAAAUUAAUAUCUACAGGUGCAGCUUAUCCCGUAUGUUCCAGAUAAACUUGACGAAUCUAUCCUUUGGACUCUCAGCCUAGACACUGGUGAGGGUUAUAGAACAAUCAGGAUGGUCAAUAACAUCCGCCUUAAUGUUGAUGCAUUCAAGGAUCACAACAAUAGCGUUCAUGACGGUACUACUAUUGGCCUGUGGGAGUGGAUUAAAGGGGAAAAUCAGCGAUGGAAGAUCGUGCCCUAUUAAUCGUAAGUCUCAACACAUUAAAUGUUUUCAUAAAUAUGUUUGGUAAAUGUCUUACGAGAGUCCAGUGCAUGUAAAAUUUCUAGGCUAUUGUUUGUUGAAAUUCUAGGAUUCUGGGUCCCAGUCAAUAUACUAUUAGUUGGAAGUAGUGAUGCCUUACUAGAUAUACCACUAAUGUUAUUAAUACUUAAAUAAAAUUUUACAGUUGGUAAAACAUGAAUUUUUUUAAAUUACAAGUAAAAUUUUAAUCAGUAAGGUUGUGAUUGAUUAAGAAUCCAUCACUGUGUCAAUAUAUUAAGUCAAUUGCACAGUGUUCUGAUAUUCUAUAUCGAGUUCAAAUUACAUCAAGACUUCCUGACCCGACAAACUAUCUAUGUUUAAGCUAUCUUAAUAAAGAUGAACGUAUAUUUGGCAUUUAGGUUGUUCGCCAUUUGUGAUUGUCUUGAUUUCAAGGUUUGUUGAGACAGAAGUGGGAGUAGAUAUCUUGAGAUGGAGUUUAAGAGAGUAGUAUAGCAGGUUAUUAUCUUCUGAGUCCCAGGUGUUUGGUGUAGUCAGUUGACUCUAUUUUGUUGCUCUUUUAAAAUUGAGGAUACAGUUACUUAAGUAUGAACAAUUUGAAGUGGAACAAUAUUGUAUUUUGCAUUGGUCACCAGUUCCAGUUUAUUCAUACUGGCCGACUGGUCGGUGGUUUUGUAUGGUUUUCGCAGCACUAGGUGUGAAUGGGCUUUCAUAAGUUAUCUUAAUAUCACUUGCGUCAAUGCUCCCUCUUGGGUUUCAGGAAGUCCAUUGGGAUUUCCGUCUAAGUAUCUAUCUUAUCUUGUUUAUUGAUUAAACUCUCCCUUCUCAUCACGCAUAAAUUGAUGGUUCAUGCAGGAUAUCGCUGGAGCUGUCUUGAAGAUUUGUGUACUAUGCGUGUAUUGGGAGGGUAUUUGAUAUAUGCAUUACCUUUGUGUCUUUAUUGUGAUUAGAAUAUUGUGUUAUAUGGUGUGGCAAUGACUUCUCUCUUGCUUCUUGUUGAACUAACUUAUGCUAUGUGUAUGGGAUGAGUUAUACCCAGCUUGGCAGUUUAAAAAUAAUGUGAUUAUGAACGAGUAUUAUAUAUCGUCUCUUUCGUUACUGUAUGGGGUGGUUUAUAUUUCCUAUCUAUGAAGAGAAGUUGAGGCCAUUUGUUUAAUUGUAGCACGUGAAGUGUAUAUUGACCGAUGAGCACUGAUCCUUCCUUUCCUAUAAGUUAAACUAUUAGACGGAAGCAAGAAAUCUAGUCUUUUAGCUGCUGAGAAUGUGGUAUUGUAGUAUCAAGUAGGGGCGAGCAGGAAAAACCGAAACCGCAAAAAAAAUCGAAAAAAACCGAAAAACCACACCGAAAAAAAACCAAACCGCAAAUAAAACCGAAAAUAACCGAGAUAAAAAACCGAAAUUAGUGGUGCGGUUUUAUUUUCGGUUUUAUGUUAAAACCGCACCGAAAUUAACCGAACCGAAAUAUAUAUAUAUAAAUAUAUUUAUAUAUAUAUUAAUAAUAGUAAUAAAGCACCUUAGUCAUUUUUAAACUUCACAUCUAAUUUUAUAUGGAGGUUCUUCUUCCAUACUUGCAUACUUGCUGAGUAACUUAAAUAACCGGGCAUCCAAAUAUUUGGAGGAGCGCUUCAUCGAAAACUAGGGCUAUUGUGAUUUGCCACAAAGCAGAAAUAUUUAUGUUGUUAAUCUGCCGAUCAAAUUUUAUUAUGAAACCUAUUCUACUUUUUUCAUUUAUGUACUUUUUCAAAACUUUUUAUUUGAAUUUCAUGAUUAAUUGAUUUUGGGUAAUUUUAUUGACUUGACAUCAUCUAAUUUCUUGUCAAAAUAUGUAUGUUUUAGUUUCUAUUGUGUAUUAAGGUUUUUUAGAUGAAAGUAUGUAAUGUUUCCUAUAUCCUCAUAUAAAAACAAUAGUAAAUAGUAACCGAAGAUAUUGUACAUGUUCAUGAAAAUUUAUAUUUUUAAAAAAAAAUCAUUAUGCACAAGAGUAGCAAAUAAUAGUGGAAAAACCGGAAAAAAAAACCGCAACCGACUAAUGGUUAACCGCAACCGAAAAACCAUUUUAGUUGGUGCGGUUACGGUUAAUGAUGAUUAACCGAACCGAACCGCAUUCAUCGGUUUGGUAACGGUUAAUGUCCGGAACCGCACCAAACCGCACCAUGCACACCCCUAGUAUCAAGGAUACAAAUACAACCUGAGAAUUUAGGAUUUCACUGUGUGAUUUUGAUGUUGCUAGUUAUUAGUUAAUUAUGCACGAAUACAACCUGAGAAUUUAGGAUUUCACUGUGUGAUUUUGAUGUUGCUAGUUAUUAGUUAAUUAUGCACGAAUACAACCUGAGAAUUUAGGAUUUCACUGUGUGAUUUUGAUGUUGCUAGUUAUUAGUUAAUUAUGCAAGUUGUGAAUGAAGGUUGAUCAAUUUGAAUAAAUACGGACAAACAGGACAAUCAGUUUGGGAAGGAUGGGUAAAAGUUACCUUUAUAUGAAAUAAUGUUUUUUUUAAUAGAUAAUGUUCAUUUUUAAUUGAUGUUUGCUUUAAAAAAAAAAUUUAAAAGAGAGAGAGGAGACAGAUUUUCGGAGCACUUCAUUUUUAGUAUGUCUUUAUUUCUUGAAAAAAUCGUGAAAAUACCAUUUUUAGAAUUCUUUUCCAAAAUUGCUGUUUUUGCAAACUAAUACCGAAUCUUGUUUUUAUCCAAAAAAAAGAGAUCAUGGAAUUGUAUCUGACUGCGAAUCGUAUAAAAAAAGGUUUUAUGUUAUAAAUAAUUUCAAAAAUAGGUAAAACCAUUUAGAAGUAUAGAAAAUUAUUAUAUUUUAAAGGUAUGAUUAUAAAAAUCAUGGAUCAUAAUUAAUUGUUUGACAUACCGAUUCGAGAUUUAUUAAAAAAUUAAUAAAUCAAGAAUUUUAGUCAAACUGAAAUGGAGUAAUUAAUAAAAUAUUUUAUAAGAAUUAAUUAAAGAUUUUUUAAUAAACCAGAGAUCUACCAAGAAAAACAAAGCAAGCAACAUUUUUAAGACAAAGGAGCUAGAACAAACGAUAGAACCAACUCCGUUCCCCUACUAAAAUCUCAAUGAAAACCAAUGUGAAACUGAAAGCAUUUCACGGCUCCAAACUGAAUUAGCAACAAUUUUCGAAUUCAGUGAUGCCCGAUAGCCAUAUAUUGUGGGUUUGAUAAGGAUAUUUUCUACUCCAGGUUACAACUUACAGGUUGCCAUUUUGUAUCAAGGCCAGUCAAAUUUCUUCGAAUUUGAAAACCGAUGCAGAACAUUAUUAAACAUAGAUCAACAAUGUACACCAAAGUUUUCUAGUUUGGAAAAUCAACUGUUGAAAAGCUGUCUGGUGAGUUAAAUAAACUCGGCAAAUUAAAACACCAGAAAAUCAGCAACAUAUAAGCUUAAACAAGUUCUAAAUCUUACAAACAACUAAAAACCAUUAGAUGGAACAUACGAUGCUACAAUACUGUUGCUACUAUAAAAGAGAAGCUAAAAUGACAAAGAUCUAGUUCACAUGUGAGAUAACUGAAGAAACUCAACCAAAUGCCAAGAUUUCACGCAAUUCCCUUCAGAGUCAUCCAGACCACAUCCAAACAUCUUCUCAGAGCAAACACGCAAAAUAUCACAAUGGGUACAGCCAAUGACGAUCAUUAUCCCGCUGAAUUCUCGUGCAGCAGAACAUACUCGCGGCUAGGAAACCAAAAUUUGACUAUUAGAUUUAGCAAAAAAAAAAUGACUAUUAGAACUAUAGAGGAUCAGUAUAUCCGUUCAAUGGCAGAUUCAGAAUAGCCACCAGAAUAGCACGAUUUCAGUGAGAACUCGGGUAAACUGGGGACUUCGCCGAAAAAACAAUUAGAGACUAGCUUCUUUUUCUUUUUUUGUCAUUUAUCACAGAACAAAAGCUAUAUAAAUCAGGAGACAACUCUUUACCAUGAAAAUUAAAGGGAAUUUAAAUUAUAUAAUACUCCCUUGCCUCUGCUUACAAACAGUUCACUAGUUCACCUGGCAAAGACUUGGAGACACAGAACUCCUGACAAUUUUAUAACCUAAAAGCUAUGCAGCUCUAUAUAAAACAUGUAAGGUUACUGAAAACAUAUAAUCUCUUUUGAGCACUUUCAAGAGUAUUAAUUAACAUCUUACCUACUAUUACCAAACUUUAUGGUGUCUUUCUCACGAAGUUCAUAAUAACGUUGAGGGUCAAUGCGCUCUUCCUGCAACAAGUGCAAAUGAGAUGUUAAACAAACUCAACAUCUUUGCAUGUAACUAGUACUAGACUGAUUGCCAAGACAUUGCUAACGAAUGCUCACAUUAAUGAAAGUUCCAUUUGUGCUUCCAAGAUCCAUGAUGUAAGGCCUGCAUAGCAAAAAAAAGAUCCAUGCAAAGUUUAUUAUGAUCGUGCAUUGUCAACUUGCAUAAGCAUACCUGACUAUAGCUUUAAAUUGCUGUUCUUACCUUACUUGUUUUGACAAAGUGCCAUCAGGUUGUUCAGUUUCUACUUGCCUGACAACAGUAAGAACUCAUUCAUAACCUACCUGAAAACACAAAUAUUAUAGAACAAGUACAUAACAUAUUCAUUUAUCAACCUGUAUUGAAGAACAGCAUGUUGUUUGCUGCAUGAAGGGUGAUCUGUAGGAAUAUCUGCCACCCUCCUUUCUCUCCCAAAAAGGUAAGAUGUUUGUCUAUGUACAUACAAGGGCUCUGUUCAUUGGACAAGCACACAGAAGUACAUUGGCAAAAGACACAUUAAUUAUAAUAUUACACAAAGAUAAACAAUCAGCCAACACUGUCAAAGAAAAAAAAUAAAGGAGAAAAAAUGGAUAACAUUAGAAGAAAACUUUGCUACAGCUUCCACAUUCACAUACUAGAUACCAAAAUCAAAUAUUAAUAGUAUGAGCAUACCAUUAAGCACAUCUCCUCCCUUAAAAACAUAAAGUCGCCAUCUUGUUUCUGGUUUCCGAGCAUCUGGAGCCUCAUUGAAGAGUAGUGUAAUACCUAAUAGACAUAAAAUAAGGUGAUUGAAGCCUAAAUAACACUAAGAAAUAGCUGAGGUAACAUGAUGGUAUCUCUUGAUAAGGCGAACACUUUAUGGCGUGGAGUAACAAUUUUAGGAGUUGUGCUCUGAUAGAUAGCUCAUUUAUGAGUUUUAUAUCUUUGUAUAUGUAUAUCUAAAGGCGUUGGUAUGAUAGCAUAAACAGGUGAUGUUUAUGAAUAGAUAUGCCUCUGGUAUAUAGAUGUGUUUAUAUUGUGGUUAUGAUGUACAUGUGUAACAUGGGGUUUAUAAAUUUUUAUUGUCAGGUUAUGGCACCAAACCCAAACAAGGAGAUGCGGCAAGAUAGCUUGGACAACAGCAAACUUUUUUCUUACAUCAAUUCAUGAUUAAAUUGUUGUAUUUACUUCCCAACAAUCUAUGUUCAACCUUAAAAUUACUACAUUGCUAUCAUAUACAGUAUCACAUAAUUUUGAAAUAAGCAUCAGUGUACAAGAAUGUCACCUAUCUCAGGAUCAAAUCUUACCCCUAAAUCUAUUCGUUUCUUCAGCAAGCUUUCCAGACAGCUCAAAUGAAGGCUUUUGCUGCAAAUCAAAUUAAUUUGCAGUAAGAAAAAGGAUUUAAUUGCAAGUGGAGCCAUAUUCAUCUUGAAGAUAUUUGCAAAUUAGAAGAAAGUGAAUCUAUAUACAUCAGAAUAAUGUUUCUAACUCGGACCAGCUGAGUGCCACAGCCUUAACAUAUGUGCACAAAAAAAAAUACAUUAAAGGCCGAGACAACAUAAUUAGUCGAAGUUGUCAUCAAUACCUUUUCCUUCUUUUCCAAGGCCUCUGCCGCAGCUGCCAUCUUAGCAACUGAAUCAUCACUAGGGUUCCUGCACAAGUUAAGAGAAUGAAUACCAAAGUCUGAGUAGUACAUUUACUGGCUAUCACAUUCAACAGUAUCAGAUAGAAUAGAUUUAAAAUAAGUAGAGGUGUAUGUACAUUACCUAGCGAUAAUGUCGUUAAUUAUUAAUUUAUUAUACAAUGAAGAGUAGAAGAAAUUACAUAAAAAGGCAAUAGAAAAUAAUUAUUUUGACAUUCCUGCCAUCAAUGACUUCAGGAUUGUUCUUAAAUUAAAGAAGAUGCAUGCACAAUAAUUUACUCAACAUAAUGAAGUUAAAAAAGUUCAAUUUACUCAACGUAGCACCCGGACUGGUCUAGACGUCUAGUCAACCACCAUUUUGCUAGAUUCUCUAAUAAGAAGAAUUAAGAACAUGAAAAGUAAUUGAAAAUGCAGCAACUUACCCUUGUUCACCUCCUCUUGAAUUAUAUUCGCCUUUUCUUGAGAUAGUUACCUAAAUAAGAACAAAUAUAUAUUUUUCAGAAAAAGAGAAAGAGCAAUCAAUGAGUACAUAUUCUAAGAUCAAACGAACAAUGCCAGCAAUUGAUAAACAUUAUUUGCUCAAUAUAUAGUUCACAAAGUCGAAGCAUUUAAGUAAAAAAUACAAACUUAAGAACUACAGUGAAAGCAUGCAUCAAUUUGAACUUUGAAGUUUUACAAGAAUAAAAAAAAAAAUCACAAGAGGACCUUUUAUUUCAAAACUCAAGGGUAAUAAAUGGCUGAAAAAAAACUAUUAUAGCAAAUUUAAGGUUCCUAGAAGUCCUGUUAAAAAGCCAUCAUGUUGAAAAGCUAAUAUAAAUACUAAUAAUUUUAAAACCAAAAAAAAAAAAAAAGUGUGAAAUUUUUCACUAGUGCUAAAAACUACAGAGAUCAUGAUUCCCUUUGAAGGUGCUAAAAAAAUGCAAGGCAAAUUAAGAGGUUAAGGCAGUGGAUAUCACCAGACACCUCAUCGCGAUCUCUUCGUUCAGAAGCAUUAGGAGGUGACCGAGACCUCGUGUGGUUAUGGCCUGAUGGUGAACCUGACCUUCCGCGUCUUGAUCUAGAAGAGCCAUUACGAAUUGCAUCCCUUCCAGACUUAUUUUCUCUUCUCGCAUUUGGUUCUUCAUCCUCUGAAUCCUUUUCCCUACGUGUAGACCUUUCACUGACCCUAAGGUUUGUUUUUUGUGCCCUCUCACUUCCUAUUACAGACUCAUUUUCAUCUUUUGCUCUUCGUAAUCUCUUAGUACGUGGGGAAGGCGAACGAGCUGCAGGAGAUAUUGAUUUUGGCCGUUUGGGGGAUCUAGUUUGAUUAGAAGUUCUCUCCCUUGAGGGCAGAUGAUGUACAGGAGACCUUGACCUGGCACGACUCGACGGUUUGUCUCUAACCGGAGAAUAAGAUGACUUUGUAUGCCUCAAGGAUCUGCCUUGACUUAAAGGUUUAUCUUUCACCGGAGAAUCAGAUACAGGUGACCUUGACUUACCACGUCUUGGGGACCUGGUUCGACCUGAUGGCUUUUCUCUCAGCCGAGACUUUUCAGGUGACCUCGACAUUGCCUGUCUUGGGGACCUAGUUCGACUUGAUGGCUUCUCUCUGACUGGGGACCUUGCUUUGUAUGAACUCUUAUUACGGGCAGGAGAUUUUUCUCUUCGAGGUGGGCUCCUCUUACGACUCGAUUCACGAGUCCUAACCGGAGAUUCUGAAUCAUCAGAUGGAUGGCGACCCAUAAUUCACCUCCCAGGUUGAAGAUCACCUAAAAGAUAACAAUCCAGUUAAAAAUAUUAUGAUCGAAGAAAUAUCAAGAUAGACUGUGAAGACAACACAGGACCAUAUUCCCUUCAAUAAUUCAUAAAGACGCGCAGAUUAUGAUUUUUCUUUCUCCAAAUGGCCUUGCAUUAAAGGUCCAUUAACUUGUAACCAACUGAGUGUGCAAUCCUUUUUAUUGGAGCAAUAACCAAUUAUAAGAAGGCAAAAUCGUGAUACAUAACUAUCUCAUCAUACAUGAAUAUACAAAAUAGCAAAUAUGGAUGGGGGUUUCUAUGCUAGAGGUAGCGAAAUACCAACAAUCAUGACCCAGUUACACACACCAAGACAUAGACAAAUGCCCAAAAAUGACAUGACUCGACAAACCAAAAUGCCUGGACUGUUAUAACAAAUUAUUCCUUUAUGUUUAAAUGUUAAUUAUUCAUUUCUUAUUUUAUCUAAGACAGCUUUAGAAAGACACGAAAUAGCCACAUUUACACAAAAUUUAUCACCCCUUAAAAGCAAAACCUGUAAUAUCAUAUAUAAAUAAAACAUCCGUGUGGGAAAUCCGUUUUUACAACCUCGGAGUUCAGAAUUAUCUUAAAAGAACAAACCAAAUUAUAAUAUUUCCUAGCUUAUUUACUCGCAACAGAACUGGCAAAAUGACGCACAAUGACCACAAUUUCAAAAAUAUCUCUACUGAUUAACUGACCUCACUAUCUCUUUGUUAGUAACGCUUCUACAACCAAUGAACUAACAAAUAUUUUAUACACGAAUACGCACACAGCUCGCGAGAUAGCUCUUCCUUCGCUUCCCCUUAAGCUCAAGUACUCAAUCCCCUUCCCCUUGCAUUUUACGAAAUACUUCAAACACAUAAACACACAUUAUCACUCUAAAAUACAAAAAAAUCUCAAAAACACAAUCACUCACAAAAUCAAUUUCUUGAAACGUAAAAACAUCAAAGGUCCAAACUUUCACAUCAAGAUACAACGUCAAGACAUAAAAAUCAAAACCCAUGAUCAAGACAGCCAAAACGAUUCAAUAUUUAACAAAAACAAGAACCCUAAAUGAUUCAAUUGAAAAUUGAACAGCCAGAACAAUCAUAUAAACAGAUAUAUACAUACAUAUAUACAUACAUUAAUCAAAAGCAGAUGUGGAUAGAGUGUAAGCUGGAGAGAUUUGAAAAAGAGUACCUUUUGGAAUUGGUGAAAAACCCUAACUCGGAGAUAGAAGCGAAGGGGUGAAUCGUCGCAUCAAAUUCUCAUCCAAAUUUUGAGAACUAAAUUAAAAUAGUUUAUAUUUGAGAUUUAAGAUAUUAAUAAAAUAAUAUAUUUGAGAUAUAUUAUAUUUGCAGGAACAAAGAACACAAAUAUUAUAUAAUUUAGGAAAAAUGACGCACAAUUACCACAAUGUCAAAAAUACAAUAUCUUAAAAAUUAUCAUAGAUAAUUUAGGAAUUAUUUAGACUGAUUUGAAAUUGUUAAAUACAAUCUAUACUAUACUAUAGAAAGCCAACAUAGGUAUAAUUUGUAGUCGUACAAAAUUUUGGUUUGGUACUCUCCUCUAAAACUAAAAGUCUACAAGUAGAUAUCUAUUAAACAGUUUCAUAUACUAAAAACACUCCUUAUGUAUAUUAAUAUCUUUUUAAAUAUAAUUUAUAAUUAGUUAAAAAAAGGUGAAACUACUGUUAAUAACAUAUAUUAAUAUUAAAAAUUACUUAUAGAUAAAUGUAUAACUAAUUAUAAAUAUACAAUUUUGAAUAUCUUUUGUCUAAAAUACAUAUAAAUAAUUAAAGACGCUACUUUUUAAUUAUAUUCUACUCGAAAUUUAACACUUACAUAUUCUAUUUCAUUACAAACACGAGCCAUUACGUAACAUAUGAAGAUAUAUGAAAUAUGAAAAAUUUGAUUUAAAUUGAAUAAUAAACUGUCACAUAUUAAUAUAGAAAAAUAUUUACAGAUAGAUAAUAAAUUGUGAAAGCUAAAUUUCUGUUAGAAAAAUAUAACGAGUUGGUUAAUAUAAUUUAACUAAAAUCCAAUUCAUUAAUACUAAAAUACUAAUAAAAUGGUGUUAAGAAUUAAAUUAUAAUUAAUAAAUUACGAAUCAUAUACCCGCCCGUGCUUUGCACGGGGUUAAAGGCUAGUAUCUUAAAAAUGAUAGAGAAUGUUCAUUUGCGCUCUUUUCCUUCUUGUGUCCAAGCCCAACUAAUAUUGUACACAACUAAUAUUUUUAUUAUGAUCGUAAUUUUCUUCCUAUUCUAAGUUACGUGAUUUUUUACACGAAUUUUCAUUAUAUUAUUUAAUAAAUUUGCACUCGUGGCAAACUUUUUUAUUUUAAGUCCUGGAUUGUUCAUAUGAAUAUUUAAUUAAAAUUAUUUAAAAUUCAUUAAAAUGUUGAGAUAUUCAAUUGAAAUUUGAAAUUAUGUUAUAAAAUAUGAUAGCAUUCAAUUGAGAUUUGUUUAAGAUCCUUUGAUAAUGUUAAUAGAUUUUUUUGGAUUUUUAUAAAAUGAUGGAUUUUGCGGGAUUAUUCAAUGUAUUUUAAGUGUUUUGAAAUCCCAUCAAAAUUUAUGAAAUUUUCAAACAUUAUAUUUAAAUCUAAAAAAUAUAUACCACCUAUAUGACAAGAAUCCGCACAUAAUUAAAAUCAUAUAUGACCCAUUAAAUUUAUAAAUUAAACAUAAUUCAUUAAAAUUUUAACAGAAUACAUUCUAAAGUGAUUAAAACACGGUUUGUCUAGUGUGUGCCCAUGGGCACGUGCUAAGCACGGAAACUCAUAAAUUUGGUGUGUUUUGAUUGGUGUGGUUGGUGUGAAUGCAGGGGGGCCAUCAUUAUUAAAGAGGUGUAAGCCAAUCAAAACAAAGAAAAAUUAUCAAAUUUUGUGUUUAUUGUGUGCCCAUGGCACACCAUAGAAAAACCGUUAAAAGAAUAUUUGAAAUAUGAUUGGUUGUCAGCAUAACAUUGGUCAGAUACAUCACUGAUGUAUAUGUGCAUCUGUAGGUAAGAGAAAUAUACGAUUGAAUGUGCAAAUCUGGAUACAAAAAGUUCUCCUCUUUCUGUCCCUAUUGCAAAUCUCACAUAAUUAAAAAUAACAAAACGGAUGCCCCGUCAAUUGAAAAUAUAAACCGGUCAAACUAAGAAUUGUGGUAGGUCUAACCUCCCAUUUUAAUAUUAAUUUAUGAUCAAGUGAGAUUACAUUACAAUUCAAUAAUAUUAUAGCAUAUUUGUUGUAUAUCAAGUAACAGCAGUUGAAAUAGAAUAUCGGUUUUUCUAUGGUGUGCCCAUGGGCACACAAUAGACACUAAAUUCUAUGAGUUUGAUGCAUUUUUAUUGGCCAUCUAAUCAUAAAUAAAGAUGGCCCCCUUGCAUUUACACCAAACCCACCAAUCAAAAUCCACCAAUCUCAUCAAAUUUAGUGUAUAAUGUGUGCCCAUGGGCACACACUGGAAAGACCCAUAGAAUAUAAGCUGUGGACGAAUAAAAAAAAAAGCCCUUCUCCGCUGUGAUACUCCCUCCGUCCCCUGAGUUAUACACAUUAAAGACGGAACGAGACACGAACUUUAAUCCUCGUAUAAAAUUAUUUAUAUUUUAUAACAGCAUUGAAGUGCGUGUCAAGCAGUGAAAAAGAAACGUAUAGAAUUAAAUAGAACAUAGGAAGUAUUAGUUUAAAAUAUGUUUAGACUUUAGAAGUGUUAUUUGUAUCGUGCGUAAUUUCAAAAAUGUUAGACAGAAAAGAUAUUAUUAUAGAAAUCUGAUAUUAUUAUACAUAUGAAAUCUGAUAUUAUUAUACAUAUUUUAUAUAUGUUAUGAAAUAUGAUUUUCAGACAUUAUAAAAACUGCAUAGUUAUUUAUUAAUAUUUUUGAUAAUAUUUCCGCCUAGGUUAGAUAGUGAAGUCUAUUAUAACUAUUCGUAGAACUUAAAAACUAUUUUUCCUAAUAUAUGAUUUUUUUUUUCUUUCUAGAAACCGCUACUGGUCAAAAACUGUUGAUCAUAAAACAUAUUUCUGAAUUUAUCAAAAAGUUUUUACUAUUGAAAUACUGUUAAUGUUUUGUCCAAAAACAAUAUCAAAUAUAAUUAUACUCGUGUCUGUAAAAUAUGAAAUUAUUUCAAUUUCAACAAUUUUAAAAUUAAAUUCCAUAAAAUUACUCUUGCAAAAUUAAUGUCAACACCACACCCUCUCCUGUCCAAAAUAUCAUAUACUUUGGAUUAAUCAACUGUUGUUCAUCUUUUAAACAAUAUUUCCACUUGAUCCGUUAGGUUCAGCCCAUGACUCACAGUUAUCUUCCUUUUAAAAAAACAAGAUACAAUAGCUGCUGUUGUGAUCUUUCAAAAGUUUCUAGAGGUGAGGUGGGAACUUGUCAUAUCUAUCGUCAUAUAUUAAAAUCGCGGUAGUGCAUGGUGAACUUCUAAGCUCUGCAAACUACACAGAGAGAUUAUGAAAUAGUAGAUGUUAUCCUGUACAAAAGUCAACACGCUUAAUAAGUAAGUUUACUGACUUUCUUCCUUUCCAAUCUCAUCCUCCUCCUAGCUGCUGAGUAAUAUACAAGCACACUUGCCUCUGCAAUCUUAUUCUCGUUUUCUUCCACAAUACAACAACUAAUCACUACAAGAAAAGCGGCUAAUUUCGACCGUUUAUUUUCGACCAGAAUUGGACGGUCGAAAAUGACCGCUUUUCCUGUAGUGAAUACUACUACUUGUAUUUCUUUAUUUCAUAGAAUUUGUUUUGUUUUCCCAACUUGAAACAACAGAAUGUUUGAACGAUGACCCCCUCAAUUUAUAUAGUUUAUUCUGGUAAUUAUUAGGACAAUUGAUAAUAAUUUUUUUCGAGAACACGUUUUAUGGGGAAAAUAUAAUUUAUUAUAUCAGAACUCAUAUCUCAGUUAUUGAUAAUUUAAAGAACUAUAGGAAGUAGGAACCUAUAAUUUGUACGCGAGUAUGCAGAUGCGCAAACUCUGAGAAAUUUUCUUGUAAUUUACAUGACAGUCAUCAGCAUGACUUCGUCAACUUUUACUAAACGUCUCCAUCUCUGUAUUUGUUUCUAGACCCUUUUGCCAAUUUUAGGUUUUGCUUCACAACAAAUAUAGGUCCCAUUUUUUGUAAAUAUAAGUAUACUAUCUAUCUCCUUUUUUUUUCCAGGUAAAAGAUAUUUUCAUCGAUUCAAAUCAUACUCAAGAACAUGAACACUCAAGAACAUGAAUAAUUUGUGGGAGAGAGAUCAUCAUCUAUCUUUUUUAAUGUACGUAUUCGUUAAUGGUGACUAUCAAAUUUUCAUUCGAAAUAAGAAAAUUUACAAAAAAAAAUAAUGAAACUAACUAUUUUAUGUUUUUAUAUUAUAAAAUUUAUACUAAAUUAUGAUGAUAGACAUAUCCACAUAAAAUGUCUACUCUCACUUAUAAUUAAUUUUUUUUAUUACAAUAUUAAUUCUAAAAAUAUAAAUUAUAUAUAAAAUUCUGAGAAUUAUAUUAUAUUCUACUUUUAGGUUAUAACAAAUUAUAUAACUAAAAUUUAUUAAAAAAUAAAUCGUACAAAAUUAACCCAUAUAUGCUUUUACACACGGUAGGUAUAUAGUAAUUGGUAUGUGAAAUGUAUAGUAAAAUACGAUGGAAGUGUAUCUAGUCUAUGGCAGCUGGGUCCUUGAAGUUGAGUUAAAAUCACAUCCACCUCAAUCUCAAUCACCAAAGAAGCCAAAAAAAAGUCAAGAUGAAAACCGCAUUAGAUAAAAAGAUACCAGAACUGGUGUCUCACGGCGCUCUUGGACGUUGAAAGGCCCGCACAUUGUUUACGGCGUAGGACUGAACUUCACUCGGCCUUCGCAGAAGUGGAGUCAUCAAAUACAGCGUACUCGGUAUGUCUCACUCUUGUUGACGAUCUUAUACGAUCGUAGAAAAAAUAAACGUUAAUUUUUGAAAAACUCGAGGGGAAUCAAUUUUAUCCUCUGGAUACGCGGUUAAACUGACAACUUCACUUGCAGAUUCGUGAGAUAAGAUGCACACGGUCUUCAUAUUACUGUCAUUCCUCGGAUCUUCAUGUGAAUACUUUCCAGUGUAGUUCCUGUUCUUCUGACAAAUACGCGUUGUUUCCGUUUAUGAGUUAUGUUUGUUCCCGUUUGUCUAUAAACGGAAUUGCAGUACUUCCCAUGUAAUUUUCAUUUUCACAGUAGCAAAAACGGAUAAAUUUAAUAAUCAGUUGAUAAUAAAUCCAUUCGACUGAAAAUGAUCGAAAAUAUAUUUAGUCGAGUUUAAUCGGUUUAAUUCAAUUUUUUCUUCUCAGCCAAAAAGUUUUCCCGUCAAUUGAAGACGGAAAAUUAUUUCUGAUCUAAUAUGGCUAAACUCGAUCAAAAUCUUAUAAUAAUUACUUAAAUUCGCGUGGUUAAUAAUCUACUAAUUUCGCAGAGAUAGAACAGUAUUUACCAGUCAAUUUAAGUGGAUAAUCUUUUUUACCGGAAGGAGUGGACUGUCUCUUAUAAAUCGAGGUGUCAAUGUGUCAUCCAUGCGAAGCUUCGUAAUUUAAUAGAGGGUAAUUAUAAGUCCGCGUCUACGAAAAUAACAUAUGAAUAUAAAUAUUCUGACUUUGAUUUGUCUGUUGCUAAUUUCCAUCCCCAUAAUUAUAUAUAUUCUUCUGUCAGUAAAAUUUAAUUUUCUUUAGAUACUAUCGAAUUCACAACAAAAAUAAAAAGUAAUUAUAUUUUAGAAAAGUUGACAUAAAAUAAAUAAGACCACGAGUUCCUUUGACUAUAAAUGUUAUUUUUUAAAAACUAUUUUAUUGCUAAAAAGUUAUAUAUAUUUAUAUUUAUCGACUGGUUGAAGUUAAUAUAAUAGAUAGAUUAAUAUAUAUGAAAAAAAAACAAGUGGAUAUAUGGAGACCAGGACAACAGAAAAAAGCUAGAAAUAAACCUUACAGUAGAAGCUUCCUUGGAGCCUACGUUUGCACCUCAUCUCUUUGCUGUCUUUGUAUCUAACACGAACCUUAAAUCUCUUUCCAUCUCCUUUACCUCCCUCUAUAUAAACACCUUUCCUUCACUUCCCUUUCCUCUUUCUAAUCUCAUCAUUUCUUCCUUUUCAGAACUGUGUAUAUUCCUCCCCAGCUCGGGACUUCUGUUGGGCCUGCUAAACGAGCCUGAUCGUACAUACUGCACACAUAUAUUCUUUUUAUUUAUUUUGCUCUUUCUCAGCUGCUUUGUUCUUUCAUUUGACGUUUUCUUUCCAAAAUUUGGCAUCUAGAGAGUGUUGAAAAAUUAUAAAUGGAAGGUGGUUUUCAUGUGAUGGCUGAUCAAGGCGAAAACUGUGAUAUUAGUAAUAAUAAUGGUAUUACUGCUGCUAAUACUAAUAGUAGUGGUGGUCGAGCUAUGGAGCAGUUGGAUUUGCCUCCUGGAUUUAGAUUUCAUCCGACGGACGAGGAAAUUAUUAAUCACUAUCUGAUUCGGAAGGUCCUCAACUCGAACUUCACUGCAACAGCGGUGGCAGAAGUUGAUCUCAAUCGUAAUGAACCAUGGGAUUUACCAAGUAAGCUAUCCACUGCUUCUGAAAUUAUUAUUACAGUAUUUAUUUAUUUAUUUAUUUGGGAUUUUAGUCGUUGAAUUAUGUGUAUGGUGAUGACUUUAUGUAUUAUCAGAUUUUAUUGAUUUUUAAAGUGCAUAUUAAGGACUGAUCAAGAAAUGGUCAAUAUUUGAUUAUGAGUGUGUUUAUAAUUUGCAGAGAAAGCAAAGAUGGGAGAAAAAGAAUGGUACUUCUUUUGCCAGAGAGACAGGAAGUAUCCGACGGGGAUGAGAACGAAUAGGGCAACUGAAUCCGGUUACUGGAAAGCAACCGGAAAAGAUAAGGAGAUUUACAGCAAGUCGAGAAAAGGAGGUGGACCUGGCAGCAGCAAGCAACUGGUAGGAAUGAAAAAAACACUGGUUUUUUACAAAGGAAGAGCUCCCAAAGGAGAAAAAUUAGAUUGGGUCAUGCAUGAAUUUCGACUUGAAGGCAAUCUAUCUUCUUACAACUUGCCUAAGCUGGCCAAGGUAAAUUUCAUUUAUUUAGAUUAUUAAACAUACUCAUGAGCAAGGUUCGGACUCUCAAACAUCCCGUAAACAGAGUGAGAGAUAUCAUUGGAUGAAGAUAUGUUUUUUGUUUUAGAUUUUGUUGGUAUAAUUAAAUUCAAUGAAUAUGCAUCUUAUUCUUCUAAUCAAUCUUUACUUUUACUUUGAUCAUUGCUUUCCUUUUUGGUAUCUUGUUCCUUUUCACACUAAACCACUUUUUCUGUUAUAUGAGGAGGUUAUAACUUUUCCGUAAUAACAAAUUCAGUUUCUGUUACGUGUAGUGGCAGUCACAACUUCAAAUAGAUACGUUUCUAUCCAAACUGUUCUGGCUAUAUGUAUAUCAGUGAUUCUAGAUUCAAGAUGUUAAGAUAUCUAGAUUCUGUGGAAGUUAACAUUGAGCUGAUGAGAUAGCCUGUCGUCUUGGGUCAUGAAUUUGAUUCUCGCUCACUCUGAUCAGAUUUAUUAGAUUAAUAUAUUUACUAAUUUAUAUGGCAUAUUAGCACAAUUAUUCCAAAAUAAAACUUGUAUAGGCAUUAUUAUUGAUGGUUAUGUUUUUCGACAUUGCAGGAUGAAUGGGUUGUAUGUAGGGUUAUCCACAGGAACACAGCAGCAGCACUAGUGAAGCCAAGUUCAAUGCUGGACCUCACAAGGAUGAACUCUUUCGUCGACAGUCUAUUGGACUCUCCUUCAUUGCCACCUCUCAUAGACUCUCCUUUCCGGAAAGACGAAAAGCCUAUUGCUUCCAACUUCACUAACAUCAAUAACACUACUUCUAGCAGUGUGCAGCAUUACAAUGCAACAUCUCUUGCUCAUUAUCCAAAACCGACAGCUUUGGCCUCAGAUGGAAAUACUAUCUACUAUCGUCAACCUCAUAUGCAUCCGCAAAACUACAAUCCUACUAGCUUCAAUACGAGUACUAAUUAUUACCAAAUGCCAGUAUACUCGCAAAAUCCAUACCAUAAUCCUUCAAGUGCCACUCCUGGCAAUUUGUUGCACCAGAAAAGGCCUGAUCACCAUUUGAUGCCAAAUUUCCCGGGAUUGGGCAAUUUUACUAAUCAAAUUCCAGGUGAGUGGCAGUGCAAGGUGGAGCAAUUCUCGACGAAUCAAUCAAUGGUUAGCCAAUCUCAAGACACUGGCAUCAGCACUGACAUGACCACUGACAUAUCAUCAUCAAAGCAGGAGGAGAAUAAAGGCAAUAUUAUUCGACAUUUCGAUGACACUGAGGAUCAUUCUGUCAUUUGUCCACUUUCAGAUUUGGAUUCAUUCUGGAAGUACUGAAGAAUAAUGCCUAGGAGGGAACCAAAGUACUGGUAGAAUCUAAUUGUCCUUAAACUUUAAUCAAGGAUGAUUAGUCCAAAAGGGAAGGUUCAUGGCAAUGUGAUAAAUUAUUGUUAAUUGUAGUUUAACUAAUUGGUUAGCAGCAGUAGAUGCAGUUAAAACUUAAUUAUCAGGUUUCAUUAUCAGAUAAUAGGUACAGUACAACAGAGGGAAUAAACUGAUUUGAUAUAGUGUAAAUUGACUAAUUAUACUCUCUUUGAUUUCAUAAUAUUAUAUAUGUGUUUCACUGUUUGUUGAUUUUAUUGGGCAUACAUUUCUUUGAACUUAGGUAUUAUGUGCUUGUCCUUUUGUGCUAAAUUAUCAGUAUGUAUUCUUAAUGUAACCUGCCGCUAUUCACCUGCCUUGCUAUUUUUCAACUAAUUAGAAGUCAAUCACGAAAAAUUAUACAAUCAUUUAUGUAAUUAUUUAAUUUUUGAUAUUAAAAUAGAACAGUACUGCAGCGAGUAUGGAAAAGUGUAACGAUUCUCUAAAUCAUUUGCUUUUAGUGUGAUUGUCUGAACUGUCUUCUCAAGACGGCUCAUAUUAUGUUAAAUAAUUAGUCCAUCAAAAAAAAAAAUAUAUAUAUAUAUAUAUAUAUAUAUAUAUAUAUAUUAGAAAAAGAUCAUGGUCUAUUAUUUAAGUUUUUUGUUCUUUGAAAACAAUUAAAAAUUUAACACCUGGGCACGCAUAAUUUAUGACCUACCAAGCAGUGUUAUGAUUAUCAACCAAGGGGCCAGGGGGUAUAGAUUCAUAGAGUUCCUCUUGCCUAUGAUUAGUUCCAAGAUCAAAUGUACCUUACUUCCUGUAUCUUUAUCGAGAACUCAGAUAGAAAUGACGUUGUGUUUGACGUAUAUAUAUGAUUAUGAAAAACCAGGUGGUAUAUUAAAAUAAGGCCGGUGGUUGAUGCAUAAAGUCUUUGAAUGCUCCCUAAAUUCAUGCAUAGUGCAGAAAAGGAGCAGGUAGAUAUAUGUAUUUCAGCGCAAGUUGAGGUACUCUAUCUUGAGGAAGACUCGAUCUUCUGUCAUGUCAGUGUGUCUUGGGGUCUCAGUGAACAUGCUACAUGGAAAGUAAGGAAGGGUUAAUUAAUUUAAAAUUAUAAAAUUUGUGAUAGAUAGAGAUUAUAUAUUAUUUUUAUUAUUUGAUAUUUUGACUUUUGACAAAUCUAAAUAUCUCGACUGUAUAUGAGUUAUUAUUUAAAAAGAUUUUUUUAUAUAAAUAUUUUUAAUCAAAAUCAAUUCAUAUAAACUUUUUAUUAAUAACAUUUUUAUUAUACAAUUAAUAUUUUAAAUAUAUAUGUUAAAAAAGUAAAUGAAUAAAAAUAGAGAGAAUACAAAACAUUGACCGGGAUUUAUACAAAUGAACUUUAUAGAUGCGUUUCUUAUUAUACCUAUCGGCUAAUUCCGGCAACCAUUAUUUUUAAUAAUUUAGUUGUGCAUCGAAAAUUAAUGAAUUGGUAGAAAUUAGCACCAAGCAAGUCUAUUUCUAAAAAAAUAUUUAAAUCAAGAUUAAAUGUAACAUUAAUCUAAAAGAUAGUGAUUAAAGGUAAUUAAGGAAAGGAACAAUACAAUAAACAACAAAUUCAUAUAAAGUAAAAUUUAUUGAUGUGAUGAAUAUCUAUUUUGAUUAAAUUCACAGUCGGUUCUUCUUCGUGGAAGUCGUCUUCUAGAAAAUGUUAAACUAUUUGGGAGGAUUUUUCUUUAGCGGGCUGGCCAAUACAAAAUAGAUUGCUUCGAAUUAAUCAACCCUUGAAAACAAUAAUCUAUAAAUAUGUUUGUUAUAAGAAAUUUAUGAAAAUUAAAUCAUAAUAUCAAAAUUUAUAAAAAAGAGAAUCUAUAAAUUACAGUUCGAGAUUUUUUCUACGGGUGCACAUCAAAUUCAUAAUAUAAUAUUAUUACAUUUAAUAUCAUAUUAAAAAUAAUAAUAUUAUAAAAUCAAUAUUUUAUAAUUUAAAUUUACGAUCUUAUUAUUAAAAACAUUUAUUAUAUAUAACUAUAGACCUUACUUCUUUCAAAAAAAAAAAACAAAAAAAAAACUAUAGACCUUACUAAUAAAAAAAUAUUUCACGAGUCUAUUUAUUUAUAAUCUUAACAAACUUAGCAUUACUUGGCACAAGCACAACCGUGUAGAUGGGACAUGCACUAAUGUGGUUUGAGAAGGAAUCGUGGGUCAGUUGUUUAUAUUCUUUCCGUAGAAAAACACCAUCAUAUUAUUCCGGAAACUUAAUUGCUCCAUUAUUUUAAGUAAGGGUAUUAUUAAUAAUUAUUAUCCCUUGUAUGAUCAGCUCAAGCAUCCAUUCCAAAGAAAGUGACAUUGCAGGUCUAUUUCUGCCAUGUAUUUCGCGCGUAGUUCAGUAUUAUCUUAACCAAAAAUUUACAAAAUUGUCGAACUUUUGUCCUUGUAAAAUUGAAAGUUAAUAUGCUGUUUUUAUUAGGAAAUUUAUAGGAAGAAAGAUGUAUAUUCAUUACCAGCUCUCAUCAAGUAAAAUGUUCUUUUUUGAGUGAUAGAAUUAGUUGACAGCUUGUUUCUUACUAAAAUAUCAAUGUUUUAGGACUUUUGGAGUCGGCUCAAAAUCGAAAUAUUAAAAUUUUUAAUUGAGCAGAUUAAAUUUUAGUUAAAUCUAUAGGUUUUAAAAUUUUCUAAUCAUAAAUGAUAAAUUUAAAUAUUUUCAUUAAAACAUAUCUUAUCCAUAAUUCUCAUUUUUCACAGUUAUCCAUAGAUUAUAAUUUAUUUAUAAAUUAUUUUUAUUUUUAUUAUUAUAUUUUUACCAACUCAUAAAUUAUUAAUAAAUCAAGACUAUCUAAAUAAAUAUUUUAAAUAAUAUUAAAUUAUAAUUUAUAAUUUUAAACCGUCAAACGGCUCUUAGUAAGAUACCUAUAUAUUCUCCUAGUAUAUUAUUUUUCUUUUUUUGAGCGGACUGACUCAGCAAAAAUUAUUAUCAUCACAACGACAACCAAUUUAUUUUUUUUAAGCACAACGACAUCCAGUUUCAAUUUAAUGUAGCCCAAUAGUAAAAUACAAUAAAACCGUUACAAGCCCACAAUGUCUUAUAACAAAGCCCAUCAAGAGUAAAGGUAAGCACAUACUCCCCUGGUCCAAAACAUGAACUCUUGAAAAUAUUUGGGCUUCCUCCGACCCGGUCCACUUAACCACUUCUCCCUCUUCCCUUCCGGAGCACCAUCAACACCUCCCUGAUCAUCUCCACUAGAAUCACCCUGCUAGUAAUAUUGUAAGCUCGUUGUCUGUUUUAUGUUUUUUUUUGCUCUCAAGGUGUUUGUUUAAAUGUCUGAAAGAAAUUUUCUUGAUUUUCUCUUAAGUUCCUAUCUUUAGCAUGCCCAUUAAGUCUUUCUCUGUAAUUUAUGUCGGCUUUGAUUAAUUAGUCUGUUGUGAGUAGUUUAAUAUGUUUUUUUAUCGUUUCUUGAAUCUUGAUAAUAGUUGGUUAUGGUACAAGUAGGUUGAAGAAUUCUGGUUGUUGCUUAAUGUCUGGUGUUCCUCCUGCUCAAUUAUUUGUUCCACAAGCGCCGCAAAAUUAUGGGUAUCAAGGGGUGGUGGAAGUGCAGCCAAUGCAGAAGGCUGCAGAGGAUGGAGUAGCUACACUUUUGAUACGUCACCUCCCGGAAGCUGUUCCUAAUGACACCUUGCAUAGGCUGUUUUCGUAUUAUGGUGCUUCUGCUGUCCGUUCGUGCACUAGUGGCAGGUAUUGCAGGAGGUUUAAAUACUGUUUUCUAGUGUGGUUCUAGUGGCCUUGUUUCUGACUUGGUAUGUAUUUUGUUGUGUAUAAUUUUCAUCAGCAGUUUGUUACUGUUGUUAUCAUAUGAGUUUUACCAGAUGCUCUUGCCAUUGUUCUACCCAUUGACCCUCCUAUAUAGCAAGAAUAUGUAUUUCACUGUUGUAUAAAUCGGUCCCACUCAGUUUGCUAAUUAAUCUGAUGACCUUGACAUACCAUGCUUGCCACAAUCUUUAAGUUCAUGGUAUCGGAGAUUUUGGUAGCUUAGCUUGAUGUGCUAUGACAGGUAUAAAAAUAUGAGAUUUUCUAUAUGCGGAGAUUUUAUACAUAUGAGAUGUAUAAAAAAUUAAAAAUAUAGUUAUAUAUCCGGAGUGUAAACUUGUAUGUGCUUUGUUUGUUUUCUUCUGUAUAAUUCUUUCUAUCUUUUUUGAGGUGCUAUCAGCUAUGACAGGUGGUUGUGUUUCAUUAUAGUUUAUAUGAAUUUGGAAAUUUCAAAUUUUCAGAUUAAGGAACUGUGCUUUUGUGGAUUUUACAAACGAGGCUUUGGCACUUCAAGCACUACGCCAAUUGAAUGGGUACAUUCUCCCUCCAUAUCUUGUUAAGAUAGAUAUCAAUAUGCUUCAAAUAUAUAAAUAUAUGAUAUCUCUAUAGCUUUUAUAUAGUCAGUCUUGUUUUAUUUUGUAUUGAUUGGUUGAGGUGAAUGAAUUGGGGAGGGAAUGAAAUGCGUACUAUAUUGCGGGUCAAUGUUUUUUUUUGUUGCAUUCCUUCUUCCAACAUAUUCUUAACAAUCUAAAUUAGACCUUAAAUCCACCAAUUUUUGAAGGAAUUCUCUAUUCUCCUUUCUUACUCAAUUCCCUUGCAACUACUAUGAUGAUUAAUUUUCACACUUCCCUUACCUUUUUUGAUUAUCCUUGAAUUUUGUGCACAGUUUUCAUCCCCUAUUCCAUCCUCUCUAAUCCAACUGAGCAGUUAUGUUUCACUUGCUUUUUUUUAUCAUUACAUGAAUUUUAUUCCUUGUCACCAGUGUUUUUAAACUAUUUUCUGACAAUAAUUUGGUCAGAUUGCGGUUUCUUGGUAAAGUCUUGUCAGUGGAGAGAGCUAGCAGACCAACAGAGAAUAGCAAAAAUCAGUGUGAAACUCAGGUAAAGAAGGAGUCCACAUCUUCAACGAAUGAUGCUCCCCUUGGGAAAGAUCCAUGUGCGGAAGCCAAGAUAGGCUCCUUACUUGGUAGUGAACCCAUAGCUGAAAGACUUGGCGUUGACUACCCAUUUCCUCCUCAUCUUGAGUAUGUUCUUUUUUGCACUAUAACUUGUGCUUGAAAGUUGUUUGUUAAUAUAAAUGGCUGGAAACAGACCCCCUCAAAUGCUAGAAUACAUAUAAUCAGUCUACUUUUUCAUAAUUAUCCAGGCAUGUAACUCUGAUAAUUAUUAUGCACUACGAUAGUUUUUCAUUACCAAUUUACAGACCAAGCUAAUAUCAUAAUGUUACAGAUUGAAAGAGGCAAUUGCAAUCUAUGAAAAAAGAGGCCAUAAUAAUAAAAUGAUUUUUUAAUGUAAAACCUUUGAUGUUUGUAACAAUAUUCAGUCUGCAUCAUAUAUAUCUCUGAUAAAUUCUUACAACUUUCCCAAGGCAAUAUAUCCAGUGGGCAUGUUGGUAGACGUGAUAAGUGAAGAGAGUCUAAUGCAAAGUCCCAAUAAGCGUUAAUUAAUUAAAUAGUUGGUGUCUACUUUCGGAGGUUGGGAAAUUUUUCUGACCCAUGAUUGUAAAAAGUUGAGAGUUGGUGAUUGUGAUAUUGUAGAAUGGAAUUUAUGGGCUUUGAAUAGUAACAAAUUGGAGAAACUACACAAGGACUUUUCUGAUGCAGUAGGAAAAUUAAAUGCAUAAUUUAAAUAUGCGAUACAUGCUCCCUGUUGAAGGAAGUAAGGCACAGACACCACUGAGUCGCUAACAUGCAGAAUUAAGAUACAUCUGGCUCAUGAUUAUCACUUUGUCCAGUUUCUUUUUUAGUUUUAAUAAGAUACUUCGAUUAAAGGUCUGCGUUUAGCUUGCUAAUGUAGCUUCAUUGCAGGUAUGCAUACCCUCCACCAGAUGGAAAUAUACUUACUAACAUUGUAAAUGCGCUUAUUGCUGUUCCUCGAUUCUACACGCAGGUAAACUGUAUUUUCAUAGUCUCUUUUGGAAGUAAUUAAAAAUCCCAUUUACUUAUAUCUUUUUCCCAUUCUGCUGCAACCUUGGAUAUAUAAUCAUCCAGUAACCUAGCAAUUUAUUGGUAUUCACAAGUGUGUUCUUUGUGCACUGUUCGCACAUAUUUUGCAGGUGUUGCACCUGAUGAACAAAAUGAAUAUUCCAGCUCCAUUUCGUAUGGCAUUGCCCACUCCACCUCUACCACCUUCAGUACCCGAGCCUCUCCCACCUCCACCACCUCCACUACCACCUGCCAUACCUGAGAAUACAAAAUUGUCAUAUCUUUCAAGUGGUGAAUCAGAGAUGGAGUCUUCAGAAGAGGUACUAAUUUAGGUUCAGCAUCUUUCAUGCAUUGUUACAUCACUCAUACCUUCAUGCGGUGCUUAUUUCUAAGGAUAUUUGACUACCAUAUUAUAUUUAUAGAAUUUACCAAUCAGGUUCUCUUAAUAAUGAUAUAUACCUAAUCGAGUAAUCGUACUUAUCUUUGACGUUUAAAAUUGUGUAAGAUAGAAGUUACGUGACCUGUUAACAUUGUAUUUUCUUGUUUUUCAGUCAGAAUGGCCUUUUUUGCUUUGGUUGUAUUAGAUAAAUCAUGUAUAACAUUUGCAGGAGGCUGGCGAUACAGAACACCGUAAAGGAGUGUUAAAAACAGUGAAACGGAAGCGUAAGCGCAACAAGAGAGAAGAUAUUGUUGGCCCUGCAGUUGACAAGGAUGUGGAUCAUGAGGCUGUUGGGUUGAAACAAGCUACCCUAACUGCGAAAGAGAUUCCAAUGAUUAAAAAGAACAACCCUGUCCUACAGGUUAUUGUUUAGUCUGUAUUCUUUAUAACUAAUCGUGAUUAAUGAUUAUUUUUCCUUUUACUUUUUUCUGAUGCUGUUUGAUUAAUUUGCAGAUCAAAAUAACACCUAGACAAAUUCAAAAUGACGAAACAGCGAAAGAAGUAGAGUCUGAAGAAAAUAAUUUUCCCAAACAAUGUGCAAGUUUGGAAGAACUGGAAAAAGGAAAGUUGCCUCCUGAAGAAAUCCUUUCACUUCCAAUGUUCAAGGUACUAAUUAAACUAUACAUUACCUUAAAAAAAUAUAGUUAAGUGCUGAGUAUAUUGCUAUUAGGAAAAAAGUGAAAGAAAUACUUAUAGUUGAAAUCAGUGUGGUAGUUUCUUAUUGCUGAAACCUUCGACACCAUAAUUCCUCUGAAGUACUUAGAUAUUGCCUAGUUACACUCCACUUUAUCUAUAUCAAGGUCAGCCCAAAAGUGUUAGCAAAUUCAUAUACAUUUGUUAUGGACUUUUUACUUACAAUAGUCCUAAAGACUCUCAUUCUAAUCGAUGUGGGAUGUUACAAACACUCCACCUUAUUGGUUCGAUGUCCUCGUCGAGCCCACAGAAAAACUUAUGAAACCCGGUUAGUGCCAUUGCCUAUGCACUUCCGCCCGGGUAGAUCUCUGAUACCAUUUAUAACAUCCAAGCCCACAACCGAGUCCUUGUCGAGCCCAUAGAAAAAUUUACCAAACCAGUGCAAUGCCCGCUGCAUCUCCGGCCGGGCAGAACUUUGAUACAAUUUAUAAUAUCCAAGCCCACAAUCGAAUGCAUAAGUCAGUCCAAAAGUGCUAGCAAAUUGGUAUACAUUACUUAUGAACUUUUUCUUUAAAAAGCCCCCAAACCCUCUUUCUAAUUGAUGUAGGAUGUUACAUUGCAUGCAUACAUACAUUAUGACCAGUUUUGGUCUUUGGCAGGUUUUUAGGUUAUGUAUGCACGUGCCUUCGAUUUUCAUCUAUUAUUAUCUACUACCGGAAUAUUGUCAUAGAUGGGUAGUUUGUAAAUUUUAAUAGUUGAUAUGCACGCAAAAUAUAUCUCAAUCGGAUAAAUGGGAAUAUGUGUGUGUGUGUGUGUGUGUGUGUGUGUAGGUGUUUCCUCUAUAAUUUUAUUUACCUUGUCAAUGCCGGAAAUCUUAUUAAUUAGGUAUUUCUUGGAUAAGUAUAAGUACCUAAUUAAUGCCGAGAAUUCUUUCUUGAAAGAUUCUUUUAGCAAGUUCCUGUUUCUAGUGUUGUUGUUUGUUUAGCCUGCUGUUGUUUAAAAUAGUUUCCCUCGGAUAUUUUAAAAAUAAUGAUGACCACAUAAUAUUGCAACAUUUAAAUUUGGUUGAUGGGAGAAACUUGUUUUGGUUAAGAGUGAGCUUUUUAUGAGGCAGCUAUCUGGGUUUUAUGCAGAACUAUAAAGCUGGGAACCCGACUAACGUGUUGUACAUAAAAAACUUGUCAAAAGAUGUGGUUGCUGAUGACUUUUACUUCAUAUUCGGUAAGCUCAUGGUGGUGUAUGGUUGAUUAAGUGGCUUAUCGAGAGUAUUGCUGGAGUCAUAAAUAAUACACGUCAGAACUGUGAUGCAGGUGCUUUUUUCGAGAGCAUUGCUGGAGCUAAAUCAGAUCUGAGCAUCAAACUAAUGCAGGUUAGUUUGAUUUAGUUUUUGAGUUUAAUGUAUAUAUCUGUCCUCUUCCAUCAAUUGUAUGAUACAAUAAAAAAAAGUAAAAUUCUAACUUUGGCAAAGCAAUGAUUUCCCUAUGUAACUUGAAAGGCGAGGCAACUCUCAUGACUAAGAAAUAGGAUUGUUGGCUGGUCACAUAUUGUUGUAGACAUUGGAUUGGAAGUACCUCAUAACCUAUGUCAUGGCAGUGGGGAUGGGCAGUGUUAUUCUGGGUACUAGGUGCAAAAUGAGGAGAUGCCUCUUUGAACUGAGGCACAUGAUUCAUAAAACUUUUUAAAAAAAUUAAUCGAACAAGUAGUUUUGACAACUUUAAUAACCGGACAAGAUUACCAACUUUAAGGUUUUGAAAGUAGAUUAGGUUUCCUUCAACAGCCAUAUAAGAUCAAGAGUAGCCAAAUCUAACCAACUUUUAUAACAAUUAUUAUCGAUUCCAGAUUAAAGUUACCUAGUCGCUAACGGAUUUGAUAUAAAUAUGUUUCCUUUCUACUUUUCAGGAGGGAAGAAUGAGGGGUCAAGCUUUUCUCACAUUCCCUUCUAUCGAACUUGCCCAUCAUGCACUGGUAUGUAUCUCGUUAUAUAUUGUAAUUAAACCAGAUAUGCAUGCUAGAGAUAUCUAAUAUUUAUAGAUAUCUUUUACUUUCAUUUUUUUUUCCAGCUUGCAGUAGGUAUAGUAUGUCAUAUAUUAUUUAAUAGAUCCUUGGUCAUUUUGGCCAAACAAUGCAAGCUUUUAGAAGGGUUUACUUGUUAGUUAUAGCAGUAAAAAGAGGGUUUAAUAUCAACGCAAAAUAUCUCACCUAGUUACCCGAUCUCUACGUGGACUUAUUUAAGCACUUAAAUCACUGGAUAUGUCACUCUGUUAAGUUUUUGGAAAAAAAGAAUUGGAGUUUUUUUUUUGUUUAAUAGAUUAGUUUUAGACGGAGGCAAUUGGGGUUUUUUGGUUUGAUCGCUGUGAAUCAUGUACAAGAAGAAAUUAAGGUCGAAGGUGUUAAGAGAGGAUUAAAGCAAACAUAUUUUCUAUGUGUAUAUAUGUGUUUUAUACGUGCCUGGGCAUGUAUAAUUGUGAUUAUUAUCAUUAUAUGAGCCACAUGUAGUAUACUUACUCAUGACUAGGAUUCUGUUAAGUUUUCUAUCAAUAAAUAUUCCAAGAUUUAAGCUGGUGAUAUUUAUAAUUAUUUGAGUGUUAAAAAUGAGUCCCCUGGAGAAGAUCAGGAUUCAGGGAGCUAGGUUAGAUAUUUUAACGAGAACGAUGACCCCUUUGAUAUAAAACCCGAAAAGGGAAGGGGAAAUUAAGAAAAUUUUAAGUCUUAUGAUUAGUAUGUCAGGAUAUAUGAUAAUGUGCAAGUCAAUUAGUUACACCUUUAAAAAUUAUGGAGACAUAGCAGAUAUACGUAUCGACCAAAGCAGUAAAAACUAUUCUUGUACUAUGUAGUGAUAGAAUCCUGUUCAAUAAGGUUCCGUAACCUCUUACUGUAUCUCUUCAUCUAUUUGCUGGUACAUUUUAGUGGAGACUCAUUUAUCUUGCAGCAUCUUGUACCGAAAUUUGGAAUUUUGAUGACUAUUUAUGCCUUACUUUUUGGGAAACAUUAGUUUCAUGUUUACAAUGCAUAAUUAUUGCUCAUUUAAUAUACUUGGACCGUGUAACAAUUAAGUCGCAAGUUCUAUUUGCGAGUAAAAUUUAGAUAUACAUAAUCUUCAUCUUGCAUUACAUGAACCUGUCUUUUAAUAUUUACUUUUCACUGCAGAACUUGGUAAAUGGAUAUGUGUACAAAGGCAAGCCAAUGAUCAUUCAGUUUGGCCGGAAUGCUUCAGCUGCUAAAUAAAAAUGUACCGACUAAUAUCACUUGUGAAACUAUGGCGUGAACUUGAGAGUGAUUGUGGUCUUCUAGAAAGGUUGAGAAAGCUGUUUCUAGCUGGAUUUUUCUACUUCAUGAAGCAAAUGCCAUGAAUACAACCUGCACUUCCAUCCGAAUACAUGACUACAAUGGAAACCUAUAUAUUGUAGUACUACCAUUUUGGAUGAGUAUACACAGUUUCGAAUUUCAAGAGUUAGAAGGAAUAUCAUAGCAUAUAGGAUAACUAACAAGUAGCAACAUGACCAAAAAAAAUGUUCAUUAGUUUCAAGUAUACUUUCUUUCAUUUGCUUACAAUCUACGUAGGCUAUUUUUUCUGAGCCUCUCCACUGAUGUACCGUACUCGACUCCUUGUAGCAUUAAUGGAUGCAAAAGCAUCGGUGAUUAUAUAGCUGCUGAUUGUCAUUCAUAUAGUUCUGCUUAUUCUGUAUCAAGUUUUUGUAUGGCUUGCUUGCAAAUUCUACAUUGUUUCAUCGUGCUCUCAAUCAAGUUAAUACAAUUACACAUCAUUAGCGAAUAAUAGAAAAGAUUACUGGCUCUUUAACUUGGCUUGAGUUGCAUUUUUCACUUGAAUAUCUUCAUUGGCACUUUACUUUGGUUGGUAAGCACAAGAAGUUGUUCUUUUGCGUAUAUCUGGAAUUACACAAUCUUCUGGACCAAAGAUUUAAACUUUCAACGUCUGUUUCCAACUGGGGCAGAGGGGAUGAGGCACCGCGGCACUGCCCCUUAGGCCGUUAAUGCCAUAUUCCGAGGACAGUGGCAAUGCAUACAAGAGCUAAUAGCGUAACAUCUCCUCCAAAGAAACUGGACAAAGACCUGCAAGGAGCGAAAAAGAAUUGCAGGCAUUAAAUUUAUUCAACUAUGUACUGGUUAUCUUUAGCAUUAGGGUAUUCUGGAGAUACCUGUGCUUUUUGCUGGUUUUAUAGAUGUAAGCCAUUAUUGGUGGAAGAAUGCCGAACAAGAAACAAUUUGCAUAGAUACCGGCAAAGUCGAGGGCAGCUGAGAAGGUUGAGUUGCAGAAAGACGCGACAAGAACUGGACUGGCUAAGACAAGCGGCACUACCAUGCUCUGUAACAAGCUAAAACCUAGUCGCGGUCCAGAGGUAACGAAACCAACUCUUCCACCUCCACUUUCAGCAGAACCUCUAUGAGAUUGAGAUUUGGCUUCUUGGCUUCUAUUUGAUUUAAAAAGAAUCAUAUCAAUGGUAUCGAUCACCUGCUUCGGAAAGCUGAUAGCAUAAGCUAUAAAGCUGGUGGCCAAUGCUGAGAAUGCGAAAGCUUGAACUGCUGUUAAAGCAGAGGGAUUAACUGAAAGCAGGAGUGAUAUCGGGUCUUUAUGUAUCGAGGCAUGAUUAGGCCCUACGAGGCCUAAGACGAUUAGAUUCCAUGACAGAACCAUGACUAAUGGAACGAAUCCCCCUAACAGAAUUGCUUUCCGAGCUUCGUGGACAGUGUUUCCAGCUAUCUUGCAAAUGAAAGGAGUGAUUACAUGGAAUCCCAGUGUGAGUACAGUUACAGGAAUAGCAGGCAAGAUUGAAGAGACGCUCCAUGAAGCGUGUAGAAAGGAACCGAUUAAGCUGCUUCUCCCGAUAGAAAGGCCAACAGCUACUAGUGAAGUAAUGGAACAUAGCAUAAUGAAGCACAGCAACCGAUUGGCAGUAUCUGUGACCUUAAAUGGUAAAAAGCAGAUCAUAGCUCCAGCGACGAAAGGAAACAAGACAUGAGCAAUCAGAGGAUUUAACCGAGGUAUCAACUGAGAGAUGAUUGAUCCUAUACCCGAAACACAGGCCACCAACAAAGAGAAAAUGAAGGAUGCAUAGACUAAAGCAACGAAAGAACCAAUUCGACUUCCUAAUGUCUUCGUUGCAAGAGCAGUAAAGCUCACCUCCGCAACAUUGUCUUCCUCCAUCACUGCAAAACUGAGCUCGGCCACAAGUAAAGUCGAGGUAAUGACAUAAAUCCAUGACAGAAUAAUAGCAAUUGUUGAUGGAAGGGGGCCUGAUUUUAUAGUUGCUGCAGGCAAUCCCAACAUCCCAGGGCCUACAGCAGUGCCAAUGAUCAAACUAACAGCACCCCAGAAGCUCUUUUCAUGCGUUUCCUGUUGAACUUGUUGGGUUUUUCGAUUCUCCAGCUCUGAAUUGAUUGAAAAGGCUGAUCUAGUUCUGCCAUCACACCUACUUGCUUUAUCAAAAAAUUUGACUAGACUAAGCUUAUUCAGGGUUAAAUUACGGGCAAUGGAGUUAUGUCGAGACGGGACAAUGUGAUAGAUGAAAGGCUUGAUUCCGAGCCUAGAACAACUUAAAGAUUUAGGCAAGCAGUGAUAGGACUGGGAAUAAACAAAUGGUUGCUUAAACCUCCUCAUACUUCAGAUCUCCCUGCAUAAACAAUAUUCAUAAUGCAGUGCUUUGAAAUCGACACGAUGAUAAUCAUACAGUUCAAGAAUUAUAAUUUAUAGCCAAAUGAGCAAUAUCAUAUUCACUGAUCAAUACAUUUGCAUUCUGGUAUCAAGAUCAACUACAUUAUACCGAGAAUUUCCCGUAAGCAAACUGAUGCAGAACUAUUUACAAGUGUACAUGUAGAUGCUGCUGCUGGAGAAAGAUAUAUAUGCAGAAUGGGAAAGAGAGUAAGAGACAAACCUGGAUCCUGGAUACAUAUAAGUGAAGUGAUUUUGAAACUGCAACAACUGUUCUAUUGAUUUUUUUUCUCUCUGUUCAUGGAGUCACUGGUUGGUCAACCCAAAGUUGGUAUAGGCCUGCUGAUUUCCAGUAUUUAACUAACUCAGUAGUCAGUACUCCUUCGUCCCAAUUCCUAAAUUACUUGUCCAGUUUGAUUUUUGCAGGUGCAUAAUUGCCUAAAUUAAUUUUAAAAAAAAAUUGUUGGAAAUAAAAACGUGAAAUUUGAACUUUUAUUAAUAAGAAGAAAUUUUAAAUAUUAACCUAUGAAGCUAUGAUAUACGUGCAGAGGUCAAACUGGACAAGUAAUUUGGGACGGAAGGAGUAGUUUACUAUAGAAUUAUACUAAACAAAUGAUUCAGGUUCUUGUUUUAUUCUUUGGAGUGCAGUGGUUAAUGGGAACAAAUGACUCUGUUGAAGGUUGUUCACUUCUUUGAGAUGGAAUCUAAGACUGUUAUAAACUUUCUAACAAUCUUGUUGAAUUUUUUCGACAUAAAUCAAGUGUUUACAGAAUAUUAAAAGAGUGAACUUUCUACAGAUUGUGAAUUGCCUUCUCGUGGGUUCGAUCCAAGGAAAACCAACUCUGCGAUAUCAGUUUGCCUGGGAAAGGUGACAGCAUAACCUGCAAAGCAAGUUGUAGAAACGAACUGCUGUCAAAACGGAUCAGUCAUCAGUCAACUUAAAACAUAAGUGAUAUAGGUCUUUCUAUAUUGAGGCAUGACUAGGGACCGGGACAGGACACAAAAAAUGAAAUCCCAAGACUAAUAGAAGAAAUGCACCAGCAAAUUGUUUUUCAAGCUUGUACUUCAACAGAAAAGGGUGAUUACAUGAUACCCCCGGCGUCUUACCAUAUGAAAGGCCUCCACAAUACCUUUAGUUUUACAGGAACCAAAAGCCAAAAAUAUCAGUUCACAAUUUCACUUUCCAUGGAUGAACAAAGACUACUGGUACUUCUACUUCCUUACUGGCCUUUAAUGCCAUAUACCCAAGACAAUGGCAAUGCCAGCAAGAGCCAGAAGUGUAAUAUUUCCUCCAGGUAAAAUGGAUGAUGACCUGUAAAACACAACACACAAAUUUAGACAUUGAUAUUGUUUUCACGAUCAACUGGUUUGUUUAUAAUCAGUUUAAGUAGCGGAAGUUGAAUCUACAGUGGACACACCUGUGAUUUUUGCGGCUUUUAUAGAUGUAAGACAUUACUGGUGGAAGAAUGCCAAACAAAAAACAAUUUGCAUAAAUACCAGCAAAGUCGAGGGCAGCUGAAAAGGUUGAGCGGAAGAAUGAUGCCACAAGAAUCGGACAGCCUAGUACAAGCGGCACAACAAUGCUCUGUAAGAAGCUCAAAUCAUGUUGUGGUUUAGCAUUUAAUAAUGUAUCACUGUAUGAAAUCCUACCCACGUCCUCGCUGCACAUGUGGGAAUAGGUAGCAAAACCAACUUUUCCAUCUCCGUUCUUGAUGGAACGUUUAUGAGAUUGAGAAUUUUCUUCAUGAUUUCUGUUUGGUCCAAGAAAUAUUAACUCUAUGGUAUCAGUCACCUGUUUUGGAAAGCUGACAGCGUAUCCUAUAUAGCUGGUUGCCAAAGCUGAAAAUGCAAAACCUUGAACUGCUGUCAAAGCUGACGGGUUGAUUGAUAGCAGAAGUGAUAUGGGGUCUUUAGAAAUCGAGGCAUGACUAGGUCCGGUAAGGCCUAAGACAAUCAGAUUCCAUGACAGGACCAUGACUAGUGGAACACAUCCACCAAAAAGAAUUGCUUUUCGAGCUUCAUGGACAGUAUUACCCGCAAUCUUACAAAUGAAAGGGGUGAUUACAUGAAAUCCCAAUGUAAGUACAGUUACAGGAAUAACAGGCAAGAUUGAAGAGACACUCCAUGAUGCGUGCAUUAAGGAACCAAGUAAACUGCUUCUCCCGACAGAUAAACCAAUAGCUACUAGUGAAGUAAUGGAAAAUAGCAUGAUAAAGCAUAACAAUCUAUUGGCAGUAUCAGUGGCCUCGAAUGGUAAAAAACAGAUUACAGCUCCAGCCGCAGAUGGAAACAAGGCGUGAGCAAUUACAGGAUUUAACCGAGGCAUCAACUGAGAGAAAAUUGAUCCAAUACCCGAAACACAGGCCACCAACAAAGAAAAGCUCAAGGAUGCAUACACUAAAGCAACAAAAGAACCAAUCUGACUCCCCAAUGUCUUUGUUGCAAGAGCGGUGAAGCUCACCUCUGCAACAUUAUCUUCCUCCAUCACUGCAAAACUGAGCUCCGCCACAAGUAAAAUCGAGGAAAUGACAUAAAUCCAGGAGAGAAUAAUAGCAAUUGUAGAAGGAACAGGCCCUGAUUUUAUAGUUGCUGCAGGUAAUCCCAACAUUCCAGGGCCUACAGCAGUGCCAAUAAUCAGACUAACCGCACCCCAGAAAUUCUUCUCACGCGUUACUUCUUGGAUUGGUUGCGUUUCUUCAUUCCCAUACUCUGAAUCCUUCAAACUGACUGAUCUAAUUUGGCCAUUACACCCACUUGCUCUAUCAAGAAAUGUCACUAAACUAGGCCUAUUCAGGGAUAGGUUACGCGUAACUGAGUAACUUGGAAACUGGACAUAGCCAUAAUUAAAAGGCCUGAUUCCAGCUCUCAAACAACCCGAAAAUUCACGGAUGCAGUGACAGGACUUAAAACAGGCCAACUGAUGCUCAAAACAGCUCAUACUUAAAAAACAAACUUCCUGCAUAAAUAACAUUCAUAGUCCAUUUAACUCCAAAAUUAUUGUACUCAUACAGUCAUACAUUUUAAGAAUUUAUCCGGCAUAAUCUUGAUAAUCGGUAAAUAAUUAUUAUUCUAGAUUUUAGCCGGGCUCAUUUCAAUUCCCGGUUCCGCCAUCACGUACAUAUGGUGAUGCUACUGAGAAAAAGAUAUUAUUAUAGGCAGAGAUUAAAGGGAGACGAGCAAAACAAACCUGGGUCCGAGCUUAUGUUGGAUUUGCGGCGGAGCUCGAAGUGAACUGAAGUGAAACUGCAGUGUUGAAUAGAUUUGUCUUUUUUCACUUUUCAUAGAAUUGAGGAGAGUCGCUGAUUGGUCAGUACAAUUUUGUAAGCCAGGAAAGAAAGUUGUUAUUCCUGGUCCCAAAAUAAAUUUAAAAAAGUGGCAAUUUUUUUGACUGAUAUACGUAAAAAAGAAGAAGUAGACAUUCAUAUAUCAAUUUUUAGAAUUAUUCUAAAUAAAAAAGUAGCACCAACAUUAUUUGAAAAAGAAAAUUUUUAGAAAAUGUGCCCACCAUCUUUUUUAUAUAUUAAAAAUAUGUAUGAAAUAACAUUUAUUCAAAAUGAGAGAGUACAUUUAUUUUAAUUUAGGGUCUUUAAAUUUAUUAAAUAGGUGUAAUUUUAACUUUAUAACUUUUUUUACUUGAAUAGUCUCAGGACUGAGCUAACUCUUUUAUGUGCGAUGACUUUUUUUUAAGCUUAAUUCAAAUAAUUUCAAAAGCAAGCGAGAUGCAAGUUUGAAAAUAUAAUACAUACGGAAGAAUAAAAAUAAAACCUUAUGAUAAAUUCAAUGAUAGACUCAGAGUAGAAGAAUCAUAAUUGCAUUUGUAACAUGAUCGGUCAUAUUUCGAAGACUAUUCGCAAGUUAAUUGAGUUUUAGGAGGAUGAAAGUUGUGCAAAUAAAGAUGAAGUUGUGUUUCAUGAUUAAAUGAUAAUCGAUAAAGUAAUAAUUCAGUCCUGCAAACGAAUUUGACGAGCAACGGGCAAGUGGACAUAAUUGAUCUCAAUGUACUAUAAUCGAUCGAUCAGAACAAAAAGGCAAUGUCUCAGCUCAACUUCACUAGAUACUACUGAGCUUCACUAGAAAUUAAUGACUUGAAAGAGACUGCUUUGAUGGAGCGAAGUUGAAGAAGCUAUGUUACAUUAGGGAAGAUCUCUAGAUAUGUGUUUGUUUUGAAUUGACUAGAGCGUAACUAGUUGCAAGGGAACAUUAAAAUCAUUACUCAUCAUUCCCUCACAGUUGGGGGGAAAUUAGUAACAGCACCAGCAAGCAACAACACACCAUCAUUUGAUUUUUACCGCCCAUCUCUUUCUUUCUCUUCCCUGUCCUAUGCAAAAAGCAGGGGUCAUAUACUUUCUGUUCCCUGUCCUAUGCAAAAAGCAGGGGUCAUAUACUGUUAGGACACCCUUAAUACGACAUUACAUUAGCAAGAAUGCAAGAUGAUAAAGAAUAUUUCUAAUCUUAUGCAUUUCGCGUUUUCAUGAGCAGGAGAAUUCUACUAGGCAUGUUCUGAAUGAGUUGCAGGCUUCAGGAUCUCUUCGAUUUUUAACAUUCAGAUCCCAGGCUGCGAACAUCAGGAAAACUAGUCUAUGUGAUGAACUGUCCUCUCUCGUUCUGUUUUCGAUCUGUUCAGGAUGAAUCAUAUCUUUGGUAAUGUAUUAGUCUUAGUUAACAAACGAAUACAUUUCGUUUCACUAAUAAUAUAUAUGAUCUUUCUCAUAGUGCAUAAGGCCACAGGUUGUUAACCAGAGGCACGUAUAAACAAUUUUAGAUAUCUUGGUUACAGUCUUCAGAAUGGCGGUACAUUACCUUGACGUGUCUUGAUUCACUAUUUUAUCAGAUGUGAACCAAAAUUUAAUACAAAAAUUUCAAAAAGCUAAAGAAAAUAUGCAAGAAAAUAAACUGCUGGUCUACUUGCAUUACUGAGGUGGAGAACUGAAUUAUGUAGGUUCAGUUUUAUUACCAAAAUGAAUGCAAGAUUCGUAUUAAUAACCGAGGCAUAUGCAAGAAUAUGUACUACCUGCAUUACUGAGGUGCAGAACUGAAUCAGGUACUCUUUCUAAUGAAAGAUCUUGCAGCAUUUAGGAUCGGAGUUCUUCUGACAUGGUUAUCACCAGAAGCGUAACAUAAGGAGUAGAAAGGAAAAUGUAGCCAGAGACAACUUGCCGAGACUGAUAUUCAGAUUCAUUUUCAUCAAGGUAAAUCUAAUAAUGCUACUGAUAUUUGAAAUUUUCGGCAAGUCAUCCUUGGCUGCAAUCUACUUUCUGCACCAACAUGCAAAGCAACUGGUGAGCUUGAGAUAUAUACAGUUCUAAAGAACUCAACUGAAGCUAAAGAUAUCGAAGAAAGAAUCGGAAAUGAGAAGGUAGCAUCACCAUUUCUUAUAUAGACCAGAUUCAGGGGCAUUUGCGGAAAGAAAGGACUGAGGGUCAUGAUUUUUAUACAAUAAAACAACAGAAAAAUGGGCAAAAUUAUAUAUCUUGAACCGAGGAGGUACUGCAGUGCGGAUAUAUGAAAUAAUUGUAGAUAUGGUGCAUUGAUACACCGUAAUCUUUUGUCCAUUUAAUUGAUAAACUUUGUUUUACAGGCACUAUGUAGGUAUUUACCAUCAGAGCAAAUUAUUGGGGAGGAAAGAACUUCCCUGAAGAUUUUUUUAACCAAAGGGUCGGAUUGUGGCCGGAAAUAUUGCCCCGCUGUUUUGUUGUAUAAGUCGUUUAACUUUUUAACAUACAUUUCAAGUGUUUUCACUGCAUUUUUAUUUCAAAAUAAAAAUUUUAAAAAUAAUAUCUCAAAAAACUAUGAAGUCAAAAUAUUUACAAGUAUGCGUCAAAAAGUCAAAAAGUUUGUAGCCAACAAAAAAUCGAGAUUUGUUUCACCUAAUAAUAUCGAGGCAUGUCGACCACAGCCGACUAUCCUUGUUUAUUAGAUAGAAACGCUACUAUGCAAGUUGUGACUCUGUUGUAUGAUAGAAAAUUUUACGCGUCUCUGUUAGUACUUGAACCUGAGACCGCUUAUAAAGAAGACGAGGGUUUAUGAUAAACGGAAUAUAAUUGCCGACAUGAAUUAUAUUUCACCUUCCUCGGUGUAAAGCAAUAGUUUUUUGGCAUAUUUUGAUUUUGGAAUGAGUAGACAACGUUGGCCCAUUGCUUUUUCCAGCACUCCGUGCAAACUUGGCUGGGAUUCCCUUUUUUUUUUUUUUCCUUUNUUGAUUUUGGAAUGAGUAGACAACGUUGGCCCAUUGCUUUUUCCAGCACUCCGUGCAAACUUGGCUGGGAUUCCCUUUUUUUUUUUUUUCCUUCNGAAUUACACAAUCUUCUGGACCAAAGAUUUAAACUUUCAACGUCUGUUUCCAACUGGGGCAGAGGGGAUGAGGCACCGCGGCACUGCCCCUUAGGCCGUUAAUGCCAUAUUCCGAGGACAGUGGCAAUGCAUACAAGAGCUAAUAGCGUAACAUCUCCUCCAAAGAAACUGGACAAAGACCUGCAAGGAGCGAAAAAGAAUUGCAGGCAUUAAAUUUAUUCAACUAUGUACUGGUUAUCUUUAGCAUUAGGGUAUUCUGGAGAUACCUGUGCUUUUUGCUGGUUUUAUAGAUGUAAGCCAUUAUUGGUGGAAGAAUGCCGAACAAGAAACAAUUUGCAUAGAUACCGGCAAAGUCGAGGGCAGCUGAGAAGGUUGAGUUGCAGAAAGACGCGACAAGAACUGGACUGGCUAAGACAAGCGGCACUACCAUGCUCUGUAACAAGCUAAAACCUAGUCGCGGUCCAGAGGUAACGAAACCAACUCUUCCACCUCCACUUUCAGCAGAACCUCUAUGAGAUUGAGAUUUGGCUUCUUGGCUUCUAUUUGAUUUAAAAAGAAUCAUAUCAAUGGUAUCGAUCACCUGCUUCGGAAAGCUGAUAGCAUAAGCUAUAAAGCUGGUGGCCAAUGCUGAGAAUGCGAAAGCUUGAACUGCUGUUAAAGCAGAGGGAUUAACUGAAAGCAGGAGUGAUAUCGGGUCUUUAUGUAUCGAGGCAUGAUUAGGCCCUACGAGGCCUAAGACGAUUAGAUUCCAUGACAGAACCAUGACUAAUGGAACGAAUCCCCCUAACAGAAUUGCUUUCCGAGCUUCGUGGACAGUGUUUCCAGCUAUCUUGCAAAUGAAAGGAGUGAUUACAUGGAAUCCCAGUGUGAGUACAGUUACAGGAAUAGCAGGCAAGAUUGAAGAGACGCUCCAUGAAGCGUGUAGAAAGGAACCGAUUAAGCUGCUUCUCCCGAUAGAAAGGCCAACAGCUACUAGUGAAGUAAUGGAACAUAGCAUAAUGAAGCACAGCAACCGAUUGGCAGUAUCUGUGACCUUAAAUGGUAAAAAGCAGAUCAUAGCUCCAGCGACGAAAGGAAACAAGACAUGAGCAAUCAGAGGAUUUAACCGAGGUAUCAACUGAGAGAUGAUUGAUCCUAUACCCGAAACACAGGCCACCAACAAAGAGAAAAUGAAGGAUGCAUAGACUAAAGCAACGAAAGAACCAAUUCGACUUCCUAAUGUCUUCGUUGCAAGAGCAGUAAAGCUCACCUCCGCAACAUUGUCUUCCUCCAUCACUGCAAAACUGAGCUCGGCCACAAGUAAAGUCGAGGUAAUGACAUAAAUCCAUGACAGAAUAAUAGCAAUUGUUGAUGGAAGGGGGCCUGAUUUUAUAGUUGCUGCAGGCAAUCCCAACAUCCCAGGGCCUACAGCAGUGCCAAUGAUCAAACUAACAGCACCCCAGAAGCUCUUUUCAUGCGUUUCCUGUUGAACUUGUUGGGUUUUUCGAUUCUCCAGCUCUGAAUUGAUUGAAAAGGCUGAUCUAGUUCUGCCAUCACACCUACUUGCUUUAUCAAAAAAUUUGACUAGACUAAGCUUAUUCAGGGUUAAAUUACGGGCAAUGGAGUUAUGUCGAGACGGGACAAUGUGAUAGAUGAAAGGCUUGAUUCCGAGCCUAGAACAACUUAAAGAUUUAGGCAAGCAGUGAUAGGACUGGGAAUAAACAAAUGGUUGCUUAAACCUCCUCAUACUUCAGAUCUCCCUGCAUAAACAAUAUUCAUAAUGCAGUGCUUUGAAAUCGACACGAUGAUAAUCAUACAGUUCAAGAAUUAUAAUUUAUAGCCAAAUGAGCAAUAUCAUAUUCACUGAUCAAUACAUUUGCAUUCUGGUAUCAAGAUCAACUACAUUAUACCGAGAAUUUCCCGUAAGCAAACUGAUGCAGAACUAUUUACAAGUGUACAUGUAGAUGCUGCUGCUGGAGAAAGAUAUAUAUGCAGAAUGGGAAAGAGAGUAAGAGACAAACCUGGAUCCUGGAUACAUAUAAGUGAAGUGAUUUUGAAACUGCAACAACUGUUCUAUUGAUUUUUUUUCUCUCUGUUCAUGGAGUCACUGGUUGGUCAACCCAAAGUUGGUAUAGGCCUGCUGAUUUCCAGUAUUUAACUAACUCAGUAGUCAGUACUCCUUCGUCCCAAUUCCUAAAUUACUUGUCCAGUUUGAUUUUUGCAGGUGCAUAAUUGCCUAAAUUAAUUUUAAAAAAAAAUUGUUGGAAAUAAAAACGUGAAAUUUGAACUUUUAUUAAUAAGAAGAAAUUUUAAAUAUUAACCUAUGAAGCUAUGAUAUACGUGCAGAGGUCAAACUGGACAAGUAAUUUGGGACGGAAGGAGUAGUUUACUAUAGAAUUAUACUAAACAAAUGAUUCAGGUUCUUGUUUUAUUCUUUGGAGUGCAGUGGUUAAUGGGAACAAAUGACUCUGUUGAAGGUUGUUCACUUCUUUGAGAUGGAAUCUAAGACUGUUAUAAACUUUCUAACAAUCUUGUUGAAUUUUUUCGACAUAAAUCAAGUGUUUACAGAAUAUUAAAAGAGUGAACUUUCUACAGAUUGUGAAUUGCCUUCUCGUGGGUUCGAUCCAAGGAAAACCAACUCUGCGAUAUCAGUUUGCCUGGGAAAGGUGACAGCAUAACCUGCAAAGCAAGUUGUAGAAACGAACUGCUGUCAAAACGGAUCAGUCAUCAGUCAACUUAAAACAUAAGUGAUAUAGGUCUUUCUAUAUUGAGGCAUGACUAGGGACCGGGACAGGACACAAAAAAUGAAAUCCCAAGACUAAUAGAAGAAAUGCACCAGCAAAUUGUUUUUCAAGCUUGUACUUCAACAGAAAAGGGUGAUUACAUGAUACCCCCGGCGUCUUACCAUAUGAAAGGCCUCCACAAUACCUUUAGUUUUACAGGAACCAAAAGCCAAAAAUAUCAGUUCACAAUUUCACUUUCCAUGGAUGAACAAAGACUACUGGUACUUCUACUUCCUUACUGGCCUUUAAUGCCAUAUACCCAAGACAAUGGCAAUGCCAGCAAGAGCCAGAAGUGUAAUAUUUCCUCCAGGUAAAAUGGAUGAUGACCUGUAAAACACAACACACAAAUUUAGACAUUGAUAUUGUUUUCACGAUCAACUGGUUUGUUUAUAAUCAGUUUAAGUAGCGGAAGUUGAAUCUACAGUGGACACACCUGUGAUUUUUGCGGCUUUUAUAGAUGUAAGACAUUACUGGUGGAAGAAUGCCAAACAAAAAACAAUUUGCAUAAAUACCAGCAAAGUCGAGGGCAGCUGAAAAGGUUGAGCGGAAGAAUGAUGCCACAAGAAUCGGACAGCCUAGUACAAGCGGCACAACAAUGCUCUGUAAGAAGCUCAAAUCAUGUUGUGGUUUAGCAUUUAAUAAUGUAUCACUGUAUGAAAUCCUACCCACGUCCUCGCUGCACAUGUGGGAAUAGGUAGCAAAACCAACUUUUCCAUCUCCGUUCUUGAUGGAACGUUUAUGAGAUUGAGAAUUUUCUUCAUGAUUUCUGUUUGGUCCAAGAAAUAUUAACUCUAUGGUAUCAGUCACCUGUUUUGGAAAGCUGACAGCGUAUCCUAUAUAGCUGGUUGCCAAAGCUGAAAAUGCAAAACCUUGAACUGCUGUCAAAGCUGACGGGUUGAUUGAUAGCAGAAGUGAUAUGGGGUCUUUAGAAAUCGAGGCAUGACUAGGUCCGGUAAGGCCUAAGACAAUCAGAUUCCAUGACAGGACCAUGACUAGUGGAACACAUCCACCAAAAAGAAUUGCUUUUCGAGCUUCAUGGACAGUAUUACCCGCAAUCUUACAAAUGAAAGGGGUGAUUACAUGAAAUCCCAAUGUAAGUACAGUUACAGGAAUAACAGGCAAGAUUGAAGAGACACUCCAUGAUGCGUGCAUUAAGGAACCAAGUAAACUGCUUCUCCCGACAGAUAAACCAAUAGCUACUAGUGAAGUAAUGGAAAAUAGCAUGAUAAAGCAUAACAAUCUAUUGGCAGUAUCAGUGGCCUCGAAUGGUAAAAAACAGAUUACAGCUCCAGCCGCAGAUGGAAACAAGGCGUGAGCAAUUACAGGAUUUAACCGAGGCAUCAACUGAGAGAAAAUUGAUCCAAUACCCGAAACACAGGCCACCAACAAAGAAAAGCUCAAGGAUGCAUACACUAAAGCAACAAAAGAACCAAUCUGACUCCCCAAUGUCUUUGUUGCAAGAGCGGUGAAGCUCACCUCUGCAACAUUAUCUUCCUCCAUCACUGCAAAACUGAGCUCCGCCACAAGUAAAAUCGAGGAAAUGACAUAAAUCCAGGAGAGAAUAAUAGCAAUUGUAGAAGGAACAGGCCCUGAUUUUAUAGUUGCUGCAGGUAAUCCCAACAUUCCAGGGCCUACAGCAGUGCCAAUAAUCAGACUAACCGCACCCCAGAAAUUCUUCUCACGCGUUACUUCUUGGAUUGGUUGCGUUUCUUCAUUCCCAUACUCUGAAUCCUUCAAACUGACUGAUCUAAUUUGGCCAUUACACCCACUUGCUCUAUCAAGAAAUGUCACUAAACUAGGCCUAUUCAGGGAUAGGUUACGCGUAACUGAGUAACUUGGAAACUGGACAUAGCCAUAAUUAAAAGGCCUGAUUCCAGCUCUCAAACAACCCGAAAAUUCACGGAUGCAGUGACAGGACUUAAAACAGGCCAACUGAUGCUCAAAACAGCUCAUACUUAAAAAACAAACUUCCUGCAUAAAUAACAUUCAUAGUCCAUUUAACUCCAAAAUUAUUGUACUCAUACAGUCAUACAUUUUAAGAAUUUAUCCGGCAUAAUCUUGAUAAUCGGUAAAUAAUUAUUAUUCUAGAUUUUAGCCGGGCUCAUUUCAAUUCCCGGUUCCGCCAUCACGUACAUAUGGUGAUGCUACUGAGAAAAAGAUAUUAUUAUAGGCAGAGAUUAAAGGGAGACGAGCAAAACAAACCUGGGUCCGAGCUUAUGUUGGAUUUGCGGCGGAGCUCGAAGUGAACUGAAGUGAAACUGCAGUGUUGAAUAGAUUUGUCUUUUUUCACUUUUCAUAGAAUUGAGGAGAGUCGCUGAUUGGUCAGUACAAUUUUGUAAGCCAGGAAAGAAAGUUGUUAUUCCUGGUCCCAAAAUAAAUUUAAAAAAGUGGCAAUUUUUUUGACUGAUAUACGUAAAAAAGAAGAAGUAGACAUUCAUAUAUCAAUUUUUAGAAUUAUUCUAAAUAAAAAAGUAGCACCAACAUUAUUUGAAAAAGAAAAUUUUUAGAAAAUGUGCCCACCAUCUUUUUUAUAUAUUAAAAAUAUGUAUGAAAUAACAUUUAUUCAAAAUGAGAGAGUACAUUUAUUUUAAUUUAGGGUCUUUAAAUUUAUUAAAUAGGUGUAAUUUUAACUUUAUAACUUUUUUUACUUGAAUAGUCUCAGGACUGAGCUAACUCUUUUAUGUGCGAUGACUUUUUUUUAAGCUUAAUUCAAAUAAUUUCAAAAGCAAGCGAGAUGCAAGUUUGAAAAUAUAAUACAUACGGAAGAAUAAAAAUAAAACCUUAUGAUAAAUUCAAUGAUAGACUCAGAGUAGAAGAAUCAUAAUUGCAUUUGUAACAUGAUCGGUCAUAUUUCGAAGACUAUUCGCAAGUUAAUUGAGUUUUAGGAGGAUGAAAGUUGUGCAAAUAAAGAUGAAGUUGUGUUUCAUGAUUAAAUGAUAAUCGAUAAAGUAAUAAUUCAGUCCUGCAAACGAAUUUGACGAGCAACGGGCAAGUGGACAUAAUUGAUCUCAAUGUACUAUAAUCGAUCGAUCAGAACAAAAAGGCAAUGUCUCAGCUCAACUUCACUAGAUACUACUGAGCUUCACUAGAAAUUAAUGACUUGAAAGAGACUGCUUUGAUGGAGCGAAGUUGAAGAAGCUAUGUUACAUUAGGGAAGAUCUCUAGAUAUGUGUUUGUUUUGAAUUGACUAGAGCGUAACUAGUUGCAAGGGAACAUUAAAAUCAUUACUCAUCAUUCCCUCACAGUUGGGGGGAAAUUAGUAACAGCACCAGCAAGCAACAACACACCAUCAUUUGAUUUUUACCGCCCAUCUCUUUCUUUCUCUUCCCUGUCCUAUGCAAAAAGCAGGGGUCAUAUACUUUCUGUUCCCUGUCCUAUGCAAAAAGCAGGGGUCAUAUACUGUUAGGACACCCUUAAUACGACAUUACAUUAGCAAGAAUGCAAGAUGAUAAAGAAUAUUUCUAAUCUUAUGCAUUUCGCGUUUUCAUGAGCAGGAGAAUUCUACUAGGCAUGUUCUGAAUGAGUUGCAGGCUUCAGGAUCUCUUCGAUUUUUAACAUUCAGAUCCCAGGCUGCGAACAUCAGGAAAACUAGUCUAUGUGAUGAACUGUCCUCUCUCGUUCUGUUUUCGAUCUGUUCAGGAUGAAUCAUAUCUUUGGUAAUGUAUUAGUCUUAGUUAACAAACGAAUACAUUUCGUUUCACUAAUAAUAUAUAUGAUCUUUCUCAUAGUGCAUAAGGCCACAGGUUGUUAACCAGAGGCACGUAUAAACAAUUUUAGAUAUCUUGGUUACAGUCUUCAGAAUGGCGGUACAUUACCUUGACGUGUCUUGAUUCACUAUUUUAUCAGAUGUGAACCAAAAUUUAAUACAAAAAUUUCAAAAAGCUAAAGAAAAUAUGCAAGAAAAUAAACUGCUGGUCUACUUGCAUUACUGAGGUGGAGAACUGAAUUAUGUAGGUUCAGUUUUAUUACCAAAAUGAAUGCAAGAUUCGUAUUAAUAACCGAGGCAUAUGCAAGAAUAUGUACUACCUGCAUUACUGAGGUGCAGAACUGAAUCAGGUACUCUUUCUAAUGAAAGAUCUUGCAGCAUUUAGGAUCGGAGUUCUUCUGACAUGGUUAUCACCAGAAGCGUAACAUAAGGAGUAGAAAGGAAAAUGUAGCCAGAGACAACUUGCCGAGACUGAUAUUCAGAUUCAUUUUCAUCAAGGUAAAUCUAAUAAUGCUACUGAUAUUUGAAAUUUUCGGCAAGUCAUCCUUGGCUGCAAUCUACUUUCUGCACCAACAUGCAAAGCAACUGGUGAGCUUGAGAUAUAUACAGUUCUAAAGAACUCAACUGAAGCUAAAGAUAUCGAAGAAAGAAUCGGAAAUGAGAAGGUAGCAUCACCAUUUCUUAUAUAGACCAGAUUCAGGGGCAUUUGCGGAAAGAAAGGACUGAGGGUCAUGAUUUUUAUACAAUAAAACAACAGAAAAAUGGGCAAAAUUAUAUAUCUUGAACCGAGGAGGUACUGCAGUGCGGAUAUAUGAAAUAAUUGUAGAUAUGGUGCAUUGAUACACCGUAAUCUUUUGUCCAUUUAAUUGAUAAACUUUGUUUUACAGGCACUAUGUAGGUAUUUACCAUCAGAGCAAAUUAUUGGGGAGGAAAGAACUUCCCUGAAGAUUUUUUUAACCAAAGGGUCGGAUUGUGGCCGGAAAUAUUGCCCCGCUGUUUUGUUGUAUAAGUCGUUUAACUUUUUAACAUACAUUUCAAGUGUUUUCACUGCAUUUUUAUUUCAAAAUAAAAAUUUUAAAAAUAAUAUCUCAAAAAACUAUGAAGUCAAAAUAUUUACAAGUAUGCGUCAAAAAGUCAAAAAGUUUGUAGCCAACAAAAAAUCGAGAUUUGUUUCACCUAAUAAUAUCGAGGCAUGUCGACCACAGCCGACUAUCCUUGUUUAUUAGAUAGAAACGCUACUAUGCAAGUUGUGACUCUGUUGUAUGAUAGAAAAUUUUACGCGUCUCUGUUAGUACUUGAACCUGAGACCGCUUAUAAAGAAGACGAGGGUUUAUGAUAAACGGAAUAUAAUUGCCGACAUGAAUUAUAUUUCACCUUCCUCGGUGUAAAGCAAUAGUUUUUUGGCAUAUUUUGAUUUUGGAAUGAGUAGACAACGUUGGCCCAUUGCUUUUUCCAGCACUCCGUGCAAACUUGGCUGGGAUUCCCUUUUUUUUUUUUUUCCUUCUUUUGGCAAGGCCCCAUGUUUCUUGAUUUGCCCAAAACAGAUUAUUGUCUCCCCCUUGUUUCUUUAAUCUCCGGAGAUAACUUAAUCAAUGUAAUCUUCAUAUUUAUUUUUGUUACAUUGAAGGUUGUACGGACUACAUUCCGCGCAUUUCAAUUAAUCUGAAAGGGUGACUAGCAUAGUAUCCACCGUGAUGACCAUCCACUUAAAUCUGUACUGUUCCCGUAAGGAAUGGUAUCCGAUAUCGUGCAUCUAUCCGUUCCCGUAAGGAAUGGUAUCCGAUAUCGUGCAUCUAUCCACACGAUCUUAAUAUUCACUCGCAUUAGUCAUAUAACUAUGCUGAAAUGCACUUCAACCAAAUAAUUUUCAUAAGUUGAAUACCUUAUGUUGAUUCGUAACAGAUUUAAACAGUAUAAAUCAAUCUCACAGAUUUAAUAUACAAAAUUAUUGUGUGCACAUUUUCGAGUGAAUGAGAACCGAAAUUUCUCAGCCCCGUGCUCAACCUGAGAUCUGAACCGCGCCUUAUCUCGACUCGAGUGGGUCGCUGUCAAAAUCAGAACUCUGAAAAAUAAUGCAGAAGGAGCAGAGAUAGCCUAAAUAUGGAUAUUCAAGAAACUUCUCAAAAUUAACCUUCAGGUCCCAGCUUAUCCUUUCUCAGCACGAAGAAAUGGUAAAAAAAUAGGGAAAAUAGAUUUUUUUGUCACCAAAGUUAUUAUGUUUUUAGAAAUUUGCCCCUAAACUAAUUUUGUUUUCCUUUUAGUCACUAAUUUUAGGUUUGGAUUUAUUUUUAGUCACUAACUUAGGUUCGGAUAUGAUUAUUAGCAUUGUGAUAAUUUUUUGUAGCAUCAUUAAUACAUAGUGAUAGUAUACACAAUAUUUUGAUAAUUUGACGUAUGUUUAUAUCUUUAUAUAUAGCAAUAAUAACAUAAAAUGAGACAAUAAAAUAUUAAAAUCAGGAAAAAAACGUAAUUAGAAUUCUAGAAAUUCAUUAUAUCAUCAAUAUGGAAUCAAUGACUUCAAGUAAUUCAUCCUCUCCCUGAUAAAGUAAAGUCUAAUUGAGUGAUAAGAUGCAUCAUCUUUCACUAUGAAAGUUUCAACCGACUAGUUCAAACUAAGAUCUCUAUUAAAUUUAUCUGCAUGGAUUUUAACAACUUUAUCUUAUUACUCCCUCUGUCCCUCUCAUUUCUUUACAGUUACUAUUUUGGGAUGUCCCUCUCAUUUCUUUACAUUAUCAUAAAUAGUAAGUUUUUUCAAUCAUUACACCCACUAUCUUCCCCCACUAUCUCAUAUUUAACAAUAAAAACAAUUAUUAGCAUUGUGAUAAUUUUUUGUAGCAUCAUUAAUACAUAGUGAUAGUAUACACAAUAUUUUGAUAAUUUGACGUAUGUUUAUAUCUUUAUAUAUAGCAAUAAUAACAUAAAAUGAGACAAUAAAAUAUUAAAAUCAGGAAAAAAACGUAAUUAGAAUUCUAGAAAUUCAUUAUAUCAUCAAUAUGGAAUCAAUGACUUCAAGUAAUUCAUCCUCUCCCUGAUAAAGUAAAGUCUAAUUGAGUGAUAAGAUGCAUCAUCUUUCACUAUGAAAGUUUCAACCGACUAGUUCAAACUAAGAUCUCUAUUAAAUUUAUCUGCAUGGAUUUUAACAACUUUAUCUUAUUACUCCCUCUGUCCCUCUCAUUUCUUUACAGUUACUAUUUUGGGAUGUCCCUCUCAUUUCUUUACAUUAUCAUAAAUAGUAAGUUUUUUCAAUCAUUACACCCACUAUCUUCCCCCACUAUCUCAUAUUUAACAAUAAAAACUACUAUUACACCCACUAUCUUCCUCCACUAUCUCAAAUUUAUUAUUAAAUAUUGAUGGUUCCCACCAUUUUGCCCUCUUUUCAUCUAACUUUACUCAUCUUUCAUACAUUGUCUUGGUCUCCGUGUCCCCCUCCAAUGUAAACAAUUGAGGGGGACGGAGGGAGUAUAAUUUUCAAGAUAAAGAUAAAUAAAUAGAGAAGAAAAAUUAAUCUUCGAUGAUUUAUGAGAUUUUCUUUUUGCGUAUACAAAUUCAAACACUAAAUUUUUAUUCGGAAGAAAAAAAAAAUUAUGAGACUACAUCUUUUAGAAACCGUAAAAUGCGUAUCAAACUCUUAUCACCCAAGAUAAACGAUCUUGGUACAUAAAAGUACUAUAUAUAUAUAAAUAUAGACAUAUAUCAAAUCAUCAAAAUAUUACAGAUUACCGCUAUAUUUUAAUAAUACUACAAAUAAUUAAUAUAAUGUUGAUAAUGAAAUCUGAACCUAACUUUAGUGGCAAAAAAAAAUCCAAACCUAACAGCAGUGGCUAAAAGGCAAAAAAAAUUAGUUGAGUGGUAAGUUUCUAAAAAUAUAAUAAGUUCGGUGACAAAAAAAUCUAUUCUCCUAAAAAAAUAAUGUAAAAUUUCAGAUUGUUUUGUUUUAGUUCCGCGUCAUGAUCAUAAAUUUGAUGACUCUGUAUAUUUAUGAUGUAGCAGAAGUGCAGAAGUGCAGAAGUUGAGUGGAAAAUAUUGAUGAUAUAGAAAAAUUUGGUAAUGUGUUACUUUCGAGAGUUACACAGGCAGGCAGGCAAUCUGAGCAAUUCACACAGCUAAGUUACCUCCUGAGGAAUCCAAGGGGCAUAAGCAUAAAUAAUGAAGGGUUUGUCUAGUGUGUGCGGCACAUGCUAAGCGCGGAAAUUUUUGUGUUUCAUUUUGAUUGGUGGGAUUGGUGUAUUUGCACGAGUCCAUCAUUAUUAAGUAUUAGCCAAUCAAAAAUGAUUUAAACACAAAAAUUUUCACGCUUAACAUGUACUUAUAAACACACCAUAGAAAAACCGAAUAAUGAAUGUGUUGUUACCCCGUGUGAAACUCUGCAGUGUGCAUGUGUUUGCGUAUCGUCAGUGGCGGGACAAUGGCUAGAAUUCAAUAUUGCUUCAUAUCAGUCGAGGCUUGAAAUAAUUAUUGUAUCCGACGUGAAAUCAGCAUUUACAAUCAAAUACGGUGUGAUUAAAAAAAUUGCUAUAGGUCAAAUGUUCGAUCUCUACUAUAUCAUUUGUAUUUUGUGUCUUCAUGACUAAUUUGAAUGAAAGAAACCCUGAGAAAGAAAUGUACGAAAAACAACCAUAGGUGAUACUCCCUCCGUCCCAGUCAUUUGUAUACAAAUGGCUGGGACACGGAGACCAAGAAAAAGUGUAAAAAAUGAGUAAAGUUAGAUGAAAAGUGAGUAUAGUUAUGGGACCCAUUUAUAUUUAAUAAUAGAUUUGAGAUAGUGGAGGAAAGUAGUGGGUGUAAUAGUGUUUAUAUUAGUAUUAUAGAAUGAAGAUAGUGGAGAAAAGUAGUGGGUGUAAUAGUGUUUAUAUUAUUAUAGAAUGAAGAUAGUGGAAGAAAGUAGUUGGUGUAAUGUUAUUUUAUAUUAUAAAAGUUACUACUUUUGUUAUGUAUACAAUUGGUGGGACGUCCCAAAAAGGAUACUGUAUACAAUUCAUUGGGACGGAGGGAGUAUUAAACAAAAAAGUACAAUUGCGUCAAAAAAAACAACAAAAAAGUUCAAUCAUUGCCCUUUAAAUUUGAGCUUUUAAACUUGUACUUAAUUAAUUAUUUGUUUUCUUGGGCCUCAUUCUAGCAAUAGUGAAUAUGGGCUUUGUGUACUGCCAACCUCUCACGAGCCACCACCAGCCCACCCCAUCUCAAAUAUACCUACGAGUCCACCUCAUAUUGAUUGCAUUUAAAAAAGGAGUCGAUCCCUAAUUCAAUAACUUGUUUUAAUCUCCAUCUCUCAUUUUAUACAUUUUUUUCGUUAUUUAACACAUAUGUUAAAUUUUUAUAAAAAUAGAAUUUUAUAGCUUUUCAAAUAUUUUAUGUCUAAAUAAAAUUUUAAUAUUAAAAUACGACGUGAUAAUAGAUCAGUCUGAUGGUUCGAACACUCAGACUCAUGCUUAAUCGGAUUAAUUAUCCAAAACUGAACUAAUCAAUCGGAAUGAUAAGCUAAAUAAACUCUUGGAUAGGAAUACAAUAUACGAUUCUGUGAACUGGUUCAUGAAUUUCGAAGAUUUUGUGGAGUGAUUUCACCUGUACAGGCAUACAUUAAAAAGCGAAAAGAAUAUCUUGUUUUGUUCUCUUGUCAAAAGAAAACAAAGUGCUAAUUUAUAAAUUAGUGGACUAAAAGAUCAACCACAGAUUUCCCAUGUGAUAAGCAAUUAAUCACCAGUAAAGCUAGUGCUAACCUUUCUUUUUGUUUCUUUCUCUUGUUCCGCUUUCUAUAUAACAGGUGUAAUGGUAUAGUCGUGGUACGACACGAUACUUAAGUGUCUACUUGGUAUCUGUCGGGUCUUUCUCGACACGAAAGUCUUUGAUCAUGCCAACUGCAAACCUGUGUGUUGAACAUGGAAUGUGUGUGCUGAGAGAAUUCUCAUUCUCAGUUCUGGAAAUGUAACAUGCCUACUUGGUGCCAACUGCCAAGUGGGGAACUUUUUAGCUUACCUUUGCUUCUCACAUUAGCAUACUAAUCAAGAAAUAUUGUUACUAAUCAAGUAAUUACAUGUUUCAGCAUUGUUUCACAGAAAGUCAAAGGGUCUUUGAAGAAAACUAAUGAAAUAAAAUGGCCAAAUUGGAGUUCUUAAUUAGGGCACAUGCAUUUCAAUAAUUUCAUCCACCAUCCCACAUGACCUAAUGUUAUAGGGCAUCAAAUUCCCUUGAAAACGGAGAGAUUUGUUUACUUCUGACUCCCACUGAUUGCUUAUAAUUAGCCAACCAUACGGAACAAGUUUAGUUUGUACCUUAAUCAACCUCAUUACCUUAAGUUGACAUAAUCACUAAUUAACAAUGAUAAUCAGACAAUUUGGAUUAUACUACAAGUUUGUAUCAUAUGAUCCUUACAUUUCGGAUGCCUAUUAUGAUCGAAUCCGAAAUUUUGAAUUUUUGUGGAUGGCUCCGAAUUCGUUCUGAUUGAAACAUUUUUGUCACUUUUAAACAUAAUGGAAAAAAGUAUUGGAUUUUAUUUCGGAUAGGUCCUGAAAGCGAAGGAAGACUGAAACACCAGAUGUCUGUUAUUGAAUUCGAGAGUAUUUAAAUUGAAUUUAUGAUCUGAGCACAUGUACUUGUGGUGUAUGUUGCCUGUGCAAUUUGUUUCCUAAGAAUGUGCAAAAGAUGAUGGUGAGGGUGAGGAUUAAAUAAUUAGAAAGAAUCAUUAGCCCAUUGCUUCAGAAACUUAGAAAUAUAAUUAUGUCUCUCUCCUUUCUAAUCUAUAAAUAGAGUUUAAUUUUCUAGCAAAUUCUUCACCUUUUUCUCUGUUAGUUCUUCCUCAUUGACUUUCUGAUCAGGUUUCCAAUCAUCUGUAAGCACAUCUUUCUCUUCUUUUGUUUUAUACCAACAUCAAAUCUUGGUUUCUUAUGGUAGGAAAAAUUUCAUCUUUUUGCAGGCAAUGGAGCAUUUCAAUGGACUGAUUUCAGUUAUAUUAUUGUCAUUCGUCGCGAUGAAAUGUGUUCAUGGACAAUGGUCUGAUGCUCAUGCAACCUUCUACGGAGAAGCUGAUGCUUCUGGUACAAUGGGUAAGGCUCGGACUCAGACUGAGAUCCCCUGCAUUGAUUUCUUUUCUUCGUGUAUGUUUCGUGUCAUGUAAGCUCAUGUAGAGUUUGAUGUGUAAUGCAGGAGGAGCUUGCGGAUAUGGAAAUCUUUAUAGCCAGGGUUAUGGUACGAACACAGCUGCCCUGAGUACUGCGCUGUUCAACACUGGCCUCACUUGUGGAGCUUGCUUUGAGAUCAAAUGUGUGAAUGUCAAGUGGUGUCUCCCUGGAUCCAUCACUGUGACUGCAACAAACUUUUGCCCUCCAAACAGCGCUCUCCCGAACAAUGCUGGAGGAUGGUGUAAUCCUCCGUUGAAGCACUUUGAUCUUGCACAGCCGAUAUUCUUGCACAUGGCUCAGUACAAAGCUGGAAUAGUCCCUGUCCAAUACAGAAGGUAUGCUUGAAAACAUUUAGCUGAAAUCUCUGAAUGCGCGUAAAAUGCAUAUAAAACAUCUUGAAUUUCAUAGCUAAUGUGCUGUUACAAUUUUCACAGGGUUGCUUGCAGAAAGAGCGGAGGGAUCAGAUUCACUAUUAACGGACACUCGUACUUCAACCUGAUACUAGUGACCAAUGUCGGUGGGGCUGGUGAUGUGGUGUCUGUCGCCAUCAAAGGCUCCAGAACUCGAUGGCAACGAUUGUCACGCAAUUGGGGCCAGAACUGGCAGAGCAAUGCUUUCCUCGAUGGCCAGGCUCUCUCUUUCAAGGUCCGGACGAGCGAUGGACGCGCCGUUGUUUCCAAGAACGUGGCUCCUUCUAACUGGGGCUUUGGCCAGACUUACACUGGCAAACAGUUCUGAGUCCUCUAAACUCAUUCUGGAAUACCUGCAGACCACCUGUAAUGGAAGUUUUACUUCACUAGUUUAUACGCUAAUUGCAUAUGAUUUAUAGAAAUACUUAAUAGUUUGUCGACGUGAGAAUCAUAUCGAUCAAGGGCACUUUUUAGAACGGCCCUGAUCGAAUGAUUUAAUUUUUAUUACCUACGGUGUGCUGAUUGUUAGCAGCCCCAUUUCGCACACUCCGAUCAGAGGGGACCGUGUGUUACGUUUUGCACUUGCUUACUGUCAUUGAGUAGCAAAUUUGAUGUUCCUGGUCAUGUAGUUGAAUUUAUAAACUAUGCAACUAUAUAUCUCUGCUCUAGAUCUAUUAACACUUAUGAAGCAAAAACCAGCUGGUUAAUUCCGCUUCACUUCUUGUCAAUUAGUUGGUGAACUGUUGUUAGUAGGGGUGAUCGCGGUGCGGGCGGUGCGGUUUUUCGCUAAAACCGCGAACCAAACCGCGCAUGCGGUUUGGUUGAAAACUCAAACCACAACCGCACCACGCUAGCAUAAAAACCGCGUAAACCGCACCACAAAAAUGCGGUGUGGUGCGGUGCGGUUUGUAUGCUUAAGAAUAAAUAUUUUUAGUUGAAGUUAGAAAUAAAAUUUAAAUAUACAAUAAUUAAAAACUUUGCAUGUAAUGAAUUUAUAUGAUAUUUAUCAUUUCAGAGCUACAACAACUACUAAAAUAACACAAACAAAAAUGUAAAUAUGAUAAUAAAUAUGAGUACUAACUACCAAGAGAUAUAUUAUAAUAAUAUAAUCAUUUCAUACAAAUUUGGUAUAAUAGUAAUGCGAGAUUGAUAAAAUAAUAAUUAACUAUUAUUUGAAGAGAUUUAACAAUUNNNNNNNNNNNNNNNNNNNNNNNNNNNNNNNNNNNNNNNNNNNNNNNNNNNNNNNNNNNNNNNNNNNNNNNNNNNNNNNNNNNNNNNNNNNNNNNNNNNNNNNNNNNNNNNNNNNNNNNNNNNNNNNNNNNNNNNNNNNNNNNNNNNNNNNNNNNNNNNNNNNNNNNNUUUUUUUUUCUGUUUUUUCUAUUUCCCAAUAUUCUAUGUUUCAGUACAUAUUUUUUCUAAAAAUUAUAGUGUUCUGUAUUAUUUAAUAUUAUAUUUCUUCUUGUUCUGUAUUUUCAAUUAUUCUAUAAACAUACUUCUAAUUAUCCAUUUUUUCUUAUUUUUAAUUCUUUUAUGUGUCCUGUAUUUUAUAGUAGAAAAUAAAAUAUUAUUUUAUAUUUUAGUAUGUAUUUUUAAAGUUUUUAUGUGUACCGUACUGUAUUGUUUGUAUAUUUGUGUUCUUGUUCUGUAUUUUAUAUGUUCUGUAUUUGUAACUUGUAUCAUAUUAAAAUAUAAUUUUAAGUUUUUCUAUUUUAAAUAACAUAUUAUAUUUGUUGUUUUAAAAAAAAGGUGUGUAGUAAUGUUUUGUGUUCAGUAUAUAUCAUUGUUCCGUUCUUUAAAUUAUUGAUUUUUUGUAUAUAUUUCAAUUGUGUUGUGUGCUUUUUUAUAUUAAAUUCCGUGUCUAAUGUUUAAAAUUUAAAAUUUUUCUCACAUGUUCUGUAUUUUAUGUGUUAUAUAUUUAAGUUUUUAUUAUGUGUUCUCUAAUUUUUAACAGUUUUUAUGUUUCAUAUUUUUUUAUAUGAAAUUUAUUCUAAGUUUUUCAGAUACAGAACAUCUUAUUCUCUACUUUGUAAACAUUAUUUUUAUAUAAAAUAUUUAAAAUAUGGAUCAUAAGAAAUAUGAUAUCAAAAUAAAAAUAUUAAUAAUAUGUAAUAUAAAAUAAAUAAUAGAAAAAAAUUAUAUGUGACUAUGUGUUUUAGAAUUGACGUAAGGUGUGUAAGUUUUGCAGUUACAUGAGGGUAAGGUUUGCAGUUACAUCAGGGUAGCGUGUAUGGCUCAGAUGCAGAGUUACUCAGUUACUCGGAUAAGGGAGUUCCUCGUUGAACUAUCCCCUUAUAAUAAUAUUGCGGUGCGGUGCGGUUUGAACCGCACUACUAAUAUGUCAAACCGCAAUCCGCACCGCACCGCGCGGUUUGUGAAAAAUUCAAACCGCAACCGCACCACGAAAAUUAAAAACCGCGUUUUGUGGUGCGGUUUGGUGCGGUGCGGGCGGUUUACGCGGUGUGGGCGGUUUUUUGAUCACCCCUAGUUGUUAGAGAUUCCGUCUGACAUAAAUUUACAUGGGACAAGAACAGUAUAUAUCAAACUCGAUAGUAAUUUUUACUAAGCUUCGUUUUCUCUGUUACGAUAUUAGCUAUGUUCUGUUUAUCUCUAUUCUCACUUUCUAAUUCAAACUACACAGAAGAAUACAACUGUUUUCAUUGAAAUCGCAACCAUCUGUUUCACUCUCAAAUCUUACGAUUGAAAAUACAGAGACAAAUUCAGAGACGGUAAAAUUAGCAUAUUUAAAAAUAAUAAGAAAACUGACUGAAUUGUUUACUUGGAACAAAACUAAUUCGAUUAACCAAAAAAAAACUACUACAUCACAGAUUUGAGUGACACCACAAACACUUUACUAUGGGGUAAAAUUUUUUUACAGCAAUAUGAUAUAACCUGGUCAGUUUGUUAUUGGCAAUUUAAAGUAGAUUACAUUGAUCAAAUCAGGUUUUACAGAUCAGAAAGAGAUCCUUAGCUCUAAACAAAAGCGAUUGAAAUAGCAAUACAAAACAGGAUCUCACAUUCUCACUGAUCAGCAAAAACCUUAUUACACACUCAAAUCACCAAAUAAAAAACAAUACAAUAUAGAAUCCAUCGAUCAACAUUCAUCAAAACCUCAAUGCUCUGUGCACUCAAAUCUCACAUCUCUGUACACUCCUCCAUCCCGACAGCAUUCAACUUUACCCUGCAAGUCUGCAACUAAAACGUUAACUAGAACACUUUAUCAGUGUAAAAGACAUCGAGAAUUUUCUAAAGUCUUACCUAGCUAUGCUCAAAAUUACAAUUAUCAUCCGAUACAGUACAAUGAUCUUGUUCAUACUCUACACCUAUCUUAGCAAAAAAACCAAAUUAAACUACCCACAUAUAUGUAUGUAAUUCCUAAAUCAACCAAAAUUAAUUGUGAAUCCCUUGUACUGUUCAAGGUAACUACACAAUGUACAAACAAUUAAACAAACACAAAUAGAAUAACACAAUGUGGCAAUAACUAUCUCAAAUUGCACGAUACUAUAUCAAUUAACAUAUAUAAUAUCAAAGCACAAACACAAUUUGAUAAUCACGCAAAUUCGGACAAAAACAAAAUUAAUUAAUAUCUAACAAAAUUAAUGGAUUAAUCGCACAAUAAGAAGCCUUUUACUAUAAUUGACAUUUGGCGUACAGGGAUUAAUUCGGUAACCUCAUAAACAACAGAAAAAAUAAAAUAUAAUUAAGAUAAUUAAAAUUUGGGAUAGUCCGCUCAAGCCAUCAUCGCCGACGAUUAAAAUCAAUCGGAACAUUCUCCGGUGGCGGACAGUCUUCAUCGCGCCGAUGAAAAGAUUGAAAACGACGAUACGAGGAUGUAAGAAUCGCCGGCAGUCACGACUGGGCAAUUAAUCAACCGAUCGCCGCCGUUCAAUCUAGGCAUCGCGCUCGGAUAAGAUCAAGUAGUGUUGGGUUUGUGACUAGGGUUUGGUGGGCUUUUAUAGGACUAUUUGUACCGACUUAUUGUGAUGGCCC
rnacentral:lncRNA from 1 species